AUAGAGUUGGCCCAAACAGAGGUCUUCUUCUUCGUGGAUUUGGGGGACUAUGGAGUCGAUGAACAUGGACUCUGAGCUGCAGAGGAAGCAGUUUGGGUUCUGGGAGAGGAGGUGAGAAGCCUUGAUGGUUUGGGGGAACUCUUGCAGUCUUCCGUCCAUGUGAAUGACCUUGAGCGUGGAUGGAGAUGAUGAUGGCCAGCUAUGGUGAAAAGUGGUCAUGGCAAGGCCACCAUUUCUUGUGAUCUGAGGAGCCGCACAGUUGCCCAUUCUAUAUCUUUUGGGGAGGGGGAGGUUGGUUUUGGGGGCGUGGGUGGGGUGGUUAGAUAGAGAGAGAGAGAGAGAGAGAGAUUGAUGUUUGUUUGGCCAAGAUGUUUGACAUGGGCAGGUAUUUAAUGGGGGAGUAAAGGCGUGUUUCAGAGUUUUGGAUUGACCAAUGACCCAACUUUUUGACCCUCAACAGUAUAAUUUGUACACAAAUACUUUUUUGGGUACUUUGUUCCAAAUCUCCUUGAACUUUACGUCCAUCGCACAAUAAAUUUUAAACCUUAGAAAAUGACACUUUAUCUCUUUCAACUUUAGCAUUGUUGGCCCCAUAGCCCUCAGACUUUAGAUAGUUACGCAUUACUUUCCUAACCUUGAAGCUUCGUCGAGCUUGGCCAUGGCAGUCGAGAGUUUCCUUGAGCUCGCGGCUAUGGCCGCUCGGGAUUUAGCACUGGUGGGGUUGUUAGGUUUUACGGGUUUUGAUGUCAGCAAAUUUCGUUACUAGACCAACUGGAGAUGAUACUUUGAAAAGUACAUGGAUGAUUUUGAACCAAAAACAAAAGUAGAAGGGGAGUUUUAAUCUCUUGAUUAAGGUAUAGAGACCCACAAUGAUAUUUUACUAAUUACUUUCGUUAAAUACUUUCAGUAAAUUAGAUCAUUUGAAAGAUAUUUUCGUUUGCUAAGUCUUUCAAAUACGUAAGGAUAUGCGAAUAAAGAAAAAUCAUAAUUCACCUUCAUAAGGCAGUGUCAUGAAAAAUUGAAAGUUGACGUGACUUUGUUAGUCAUUUGGUACGUUCUCCUUUAUUACUUAGCAUAUUCCAAAAAGGAAGAGAAAAAUGAAGUAAUUUACUCGGAUUACCAUGGGUGGUGAAAUGAAAAACACGAAACAAAANNNNNNNNNNNNNNNNNNNNNNNNNNNNNNNNNNNNNNNNNNNNNNNNNNNNNNNNNNNNNNNNNNNNNNNNNNNNNNNNNNNNNNNNNNNNNNNNNNNNNNNNNNNNNNNNNNNNNNNNNNNNNNNNNNNNNNNNNNNNNNNNNNNNNNNNNNNNNNNNNNNNNNNNNNNNNNNNNNNNNNNNNNNNNNNNNNNNNNNNNNNNNNNNNNNNNNNNNNNNNNNNNNNNNNNNNNNNNNNNNNNNNNNNNNNNNNNNNNNNNNNNNNNNNNNNNNNNNNNNNNNNNNNNNNNNNNNNNNNNNNNNNNNNNNNNNNNNNNNNNNNNNNNNNNNNNNNNNNNNNNNNNNNNNNNNNNNNNNNNNNNNNNNNNNNNNNNNNNNNNNNNNNNNNNNNNNNNNNNNNNNNNNNNNNNNNNNNNNNNNNNNNNNNNNNNNNNNNNNNNNNNNNNNNNNNNNNNNNNNNNNNNNNNNNNNNNNNNNNNNNNNNNNNNNNNNNNNNNNNNNNNNNNNNNNNNNNNNNNNNNGUUUGGGGGAAUUACAUUACAAAUGGCUUUGGUGAUAAAAAAAUUAUCAAAAGAAAAAUAAUAAAUAAAUUGACCGACAAGGGCAGUGGCCGACAGACGUCCACUGAAGACCACCGGCGAGGGUCGCCGGACGUCGGGUGACCACUGAAGACCACCGACGAGGGUCGCUGAACGUCGGGCGACCACUGAAGAUCAUCACAGAGGGUCGCCGGACGUCGGGUGACCACUGAAGACCACCGACGAGGGUCGCUGAACGUUGGGCAACCAUUGAAGAUCAUCAUAGAGGGUCGCCGGACGUCGGGUGACCCGGCCGCAACCCAAAUCUGGGGCGGUGAGGUCCCCGCGACCUCGUUGCCCUAGAUCUGGGUCGUGGCGGGGUCACGCGACCUCGCCGCCCCCGGAUUUGGGUCGUGGCGAGGUCGGCGACCCAAACCUCGCUGCGACCCACGGCAAUCGCCGCGACCCAGUGACGGUCGCCUAGGCCACCGCAACCAUGCCGAGCCAUCGGCAGCCACUCACAGCUUCGAGCAACACAUCGGCCUUCAACGGAGAAGAAGAUGAAUAGUACAAUGACGAGGGCAAAAUCGGAAAAAUCGAGAGUAAGUGAGGAUAGUUUUGGAAGAAAAUAAAGAAGAAAUGAACAGUGCCACUUGUAUGCCGAGAAAGCUGAAAGCCCAAGGCACCCUCACACCUGCUUUGGGCUUUUAGCCUUGAGAAUGCCAGCUUUGGCCUAAUGGGAAUUUCAAAGUUGUUCCCAAACACCCUAGCUUUAGCCCAAGUAUCUUUAGAAGCCCAAAGCCCUUUGCAAAGUUAAUUCCAAACGCACCCUAAAACAAGAAGAACAAGACUAAAACAAUGUCAUUUUUGUCCAAAUUAAAAUUUAAAACAAAUUAAAUUAGAUUAAAAUAAAAACUAAAUUAAAAGAUAUUUCCUUAUUAGAUAUCAAAUAUGACCGGAUAAAAACAUUACUCUGCAAAAUGAUUGGCAUUUCUGCCUAAUGUUGUGGAAGCUUCUUGAGAAAAGUUUNNNNNNNNNNNNNNNNNNNNNNNNNNNNNNNNNNNNNNNNNNNNNNNNNNNNNNNNNNNNNNNNNNNNNNNNNNNNNNNNNNNNNNNNNNNNNNNNNNNNUAGUUACAUUUUGUUCUUCCAAACAAAGUAAAUCUAAUCUACAUACAUCCUCUUACUAUAAAUUCAUUUCCCAUUACUCUAUCUACAAAGUAAAGAAUCUGCCACAAUGGCUAAUAUAUUUAAACAAAAACAGUAAUUUAGCAACUUCAUCUAGAAAGAAACUAGAUUAUCUACAAAGACCUUUUUUGCUUCAAUUACAUAAACAACAAAAUUAAGAUGUCCGUGACCUGGAACUUCCAUUGAGAAUAGGAAUGCUUAUCUCAAUGUAUACUAGAUAAUUAUGAUGGAACUCCAGCUACCAGUCUGACAAAACAUCAAGAAGUAACACGAAAGAAAGCACUCAUGUACCAAUAAAUUGGUUGAUGGUUUUGUGAGAGUCUAUGAUAAGUUCUUUGUCUGCUCUUCUUCUUUUCUGUUGUCUGUUGUUUUGUUUAAAGUACAAUUCAGCUAUGCUUUGUUCUGUCAGGAUUGGGUGGUGUUUCGCCAAGGAGUAGAAUGUGGCUUUCAAGGGAGAGUCAAUAAACAGGGAGGUAUGUCAUAUAAAGAAAAUAUAGUCCUCUGUUUCUACUUCCCUUUGCAUUGCAAAAUGAACUUUCUUUUGUGCUUGUAGAUCCCAGUCUGUUUGCGAUAAAAAAAUAUGCGCUAUCUGCUUCCAUUAUGGAUAUCACUCAUGUCAUGUGGGAUAUGAACCUAAAUUAAUUUGUCAAGUCGUCGUGUCUUAUUUGUUGUUACAUGUGAAAUUGCUUCUUUUCAGAGACACGAAAAUCAAAAGCGGGGUACUUAAACUUAUGUGCAAGAUCUAACUUCAAUUCACAGCCUUCCGCUCUCCAGUAAAAAGGAAUCACAUUUCCAUGAGAAACAAGUAUACUCCUGACAGCUCACAUCACCUAAUUAGCACAAAAAGACGGCACAUUUUGCAGCACUUUUUCUCUCUCGCGAGCAUCUUCGCAGUUCCUUCAUUCUAGCCUAAUCCUAGAAAGAGAGAAAAGAUGCUCUCUCAGAAGUCAAGCUGCCGAAUCUCUUCUUUUCUUAGCAAACACCAAUUACACAAAUCCAACGGCAACUCUCCGAUUCUUGUUCAGCUUCCUAAAUCCAACUCCACCAGACGACUCACCCCAUUUCCCGAAAUCAUCCAAAGCUAAAGAAGACGACGCAGAGAGACCCAUCAAUCAUUUUAGCUAUAAAUUUCGGCAGAACAAGAACUGCCGCACUCGCUCGACAUGAAAACCAGACAACUCGCAGGAAACAAAACAAAAACGAAAACCCAGGAAAUCAAGAAGCAGCGGAUCAAACCUAUAUAGAGCGUAAUCGAGGACUAUAGGGGAGAAGCGAACCUUGAAAUUCCACUGGAAGCUGUAUCGGAGCUCGGGGUUGAGAGCUGACUCGUCCUCCUCCUCGGCGUCGCUGGCAACAAUCGACAGAUUCGGCGGCGACUAGGGUUCUGGUGUUGAGACGAGGGGUGGCGACGAAGACGGCGAGGCGGAGGUGCGUCGACAGACGGCAACGAUCGACUGAUUCGGCGGUGGCUAGGGUUCCGGCGGUCGUGAGCGUAGGCACAGUCGUGUCAUCGGAGAAUAAGGUGGAUCCGAGAAAGAUGAGAACGUGUUUGUGUUUAUUGUUUAUGUUUGGAUUCGGAGUUAUCGUGUUUCGGGUCGAACAAUGUUCCGACCCUACCCGACCCUAAACAUAUCUUUAUUGCUUGUUUUAUGUCUAUGUCUCAAACAGUAUCAAGACCCAAAACAAGUAUACUACUUGUUUCGUGUUCAGGUCGUGUUCGGGUCGGUUCGGGUCGGGUCGGGUCGGGCUUUUUUGACAACCCUACCAUUAAGGUACCAUCUAGGAAAAACACAGCAUCAUCUGCGAAGAAUAAAUGAGAUAAAGUGGGACACCAUUGAUUCAAUUUGAUGCCUUUGAGUAAGCCCAUAUCCAGAGCAUUCCGAAUGAGAAGUGAUAGGAGGUUAGCAAUGAGAAUGAAUAAGUAAGGGGAUAAAGGAUCACCCUGCCUAAGCCCUCUGGUAGGAUGAAAGCUCUGUAGAUAAUUACCAUUCAUUUUGACACACAAAGUUGUAGUUGAGAUGCACUGCAUGAUUAGCUAUACCCAACGAGACUGAAAGCCUAGACAAAGUAGGUAAUCCUGAAGAAAAUCCCAUUCUAUAUGAUCAUAGGCCUUCUGCAUAUCAACUUUGAGCACAGCUUGAAAAUGACGCUUUCUUUUUCUAAUUUUGAUAUGAUGAAUGACUUCCUAUACGAUAAGAACAUUAUCUUGAAUCUGUCUUCCAGCAACAAAAGCACUUUGUUCCUCAUAAAUUAGAGCAGGCAGUAGGGGUUUUAACCUGUUAGCGAGUACUUUAGAAAUUUUUUUAUAAGCAUAGUUGCACAAGCUAAUAGGUCGAUAUUGAUCCAAGCAUUAUGGGUUUGGGGUUUUGGGGAUCAACGUUAUAGCAGUUCUAUUUAAGUCCACCGGUAAUAAUCCAGAAUUGAAAAAUAAUUGAACUGCCCAAUAAAUGUCUUCCUUAAGAACCUCCCAAUGAGAUUGAUAGAACAUACUGUUGGAGAAAUCUUCUUGAAGUAUUUUGAAGUUGACAAAUUGUUUCUAUCAGUCUAGUUUGAAGGCUUGCAGACUCUGCUAUUUAAAGUCUGAAGACCUUGGGACAGCCAAACUCAAGACUCAAAGUCUAUCUUCAUUGACAGUCUCUAAUCCGUUGAAGAAAGGUUAUCCAGAACUUGAUGUUUCGUUGAGGAUUUAACCUUAUCAACUGGAGAAGAUCUCAUGGCUGGAGAAGACAUAAACGGAUUCCUUUGAUUGAUCGAAGAUUGAUUCGAUAAUUGAAGAUCCGGUGAUUGCCUAAAUAUUAUUGGAAGGUUCUACUUAUGGAAACCGAGAUCCUGAUUGUAUGGGCGAACAGGAUUGAUGGGCUAUCAACACGUUCCAUUUAUAGCUUGGACAAACUUCCUAAUUGAUUCCGUCCAACGAGUAGAUUGGAGGAAUUCCUUUGGUAAGUGCCAACGGGUAUGAUGGCAUAAAGGAGUAUAUAAGGAAGACUGUCUUAGUUGUUCAAGGUGUGCGCGAUAGAAGAAUUCCAAAGUCUGAAGCUCCUUUUUGUUUAGACAAAUCCUUUGAGAGAAUACUUGUAUACGAAAGAGAGAGUCUAUAUUUGUGAGAAAUCUUGAGGAGGUGUGGUAGAACAUCUACACUGUGGAAUCAAGGCAAAGCUGUGCUGUAACCUCUCUCUUGUUCAUAGUGGAAUCCAGCCAAUAGGCUGUCAGUGAAGAAGAGUGGACGUAGGCUUGAUAUAAGCCGAACCACUAUAAACCGCGUGUUCAAUUUUCUCUUCUCUCAGUCUUACUUUGAUUAUCGUUUCAUCCAAUUGUCUAGUAUUGUGCAAUUGCUUGAGAAAAAAUUCUUUAUAUACCUAUUCACCCCCCUCUAGGUACUCAUACUAGCAAUAUCAAUUAGUAUCAGAGCCUGUGUACUUACUUUAUUUGAAGUGUUUUACUUCGUAGUUAAAGAUCCAUGGCUAGUAUGCUAGCACCAGGGUUGAUGGAAGGGCAAAGCAAUACCAGACCACCCUACUUUGAUGGAAAGGAUUACAACAUCUGGAAGAACAAGAUGAAAGCUUUCCUUCGAUCAAAGGAUCCUCUGGAAUGGGACGUUGUAGAAAAAGGAAUUACUCCUACCACUGCAUCAGUCUCUGAAAGAGGAAAAGAAACUGAUGAAACCAGCGGAAUGUCUCAGGAAGAAAUAAUCAAGAGACAAACACUCGAUGCAAAAGCAAUUUACUCCUUAUAUUGUGCUUUAUCACCAACUGAAUAUAAUAGAAUAUCUUCUUGUGGUAUAGCAAAAGAAGUUUGGGACAGAUUGCAUAUCACCUAUGAAGGAACAGAUCGAGUGAAGGAAACUAGAAUCAACAUUCUUCUCGGUCAAUACGAAGCCUUCAGAAUGAAACUAGGAGAAUCUAUAUCUGACAUGUUUAGUCGUUUUACAGAUAUUGUGAAUAGUCUUGAAAAUCAAGGUCAACCAACUUCUGAUCCCAUGAAGGUAAACAAGCUACUGCGUGGACUCUCCAGGGAUUGGAAUCACAUAAAGACUUCGAUAAGAGAGACGCAAAGAAUUAUGCCACUAUCUGUCGACGAGCUAAUUGGAACUCUUUAGUCUUAUGAAGUGGAAUGGAUCAAUGAAGAUGAAGAUCCAAAAGGUAAGAAAUCUAUUGCAUUAAAAUCAAAUGAUGAUUCUGAUGAUACAGAUUCUGAAGAAGAUAUGGACGAUGAAGAGCUUGCUCUCAUGAUAAGAAGAUUUAGAAAACUGAAUAGAAAAGGAAGAAGGUUCAACUCAAAGAAACAAAGCUUUCAAAGACAGCAGACCAAGUCUGUUGAUGAUGAAGAACCAAACAAAGACAUAGUCUGCUUUGAAUGUAAGAAAAAGGGACACAUCAGACCCAACUGUCCUCUUCUGAAGAAGAAGAAAGGAAAAGCUGAAAGAUUUCGAAAAGCUCUCAAAGCCGAAACCUGGAGUGACACAGAGUGUGAAGAAAGUGAUAAUGAAUAUGCCAAUCUAUGUCUGAUGGCACAAUCAGACUCAGACUCUGGAUCAGACUCAGACAGUGAAUUUGAGGCAAGUGAUAUUAAAAUUCCUGUCAAAGUUUCUAAAUAUAUUGAUGAAUUAUGUUUUAGUCUUAAGACUUCUCUCAAAAGAAUUUCCGAACUGAAAAAGGAAAACUCAGCUCUAAAACAAAAGGAAAAUGUUUUAGUAGAAAGAGUUAAAAGUCUAGACUUGACUGUUUCCAAUCUUAAAGAAAAUGGAGAUAAUCUUUCAAAAGAAAAUGUCUUUUUAAAAACAGACUUAUCAAAUAUAUCAAAGAAAUUUUCAAUAGGGUCUGAAAAACUUGAGAAAAUUCUUUCAGCACAAAGACCUUACUUCAGUAAGUCCAGUCUAGGAAUGUCAGAAGAAACAAUUCCCCUGAUUAAUUUUCCUAAAGUAAAAGAAAGAAUUAAGAAAAGACUCUCGAGAGAGGUUUACAAAAAUCACUUCAAGAAAGUUUUUGUAAAAUCUGUAGGAAGAAAUGCUCUAAAAUGUUCAAAAUGCAACAGUCCGGAUCACUUUGAGAAAGAGUGUCCUAUGGUUUGAAAACCUGUUAAGAGAAUAUGGGCUAAUACUGCUUAUGUUACUAACACAAAAGGACCCAAGAAAGUUUGGGUACCAAAGAAAGCUUGAGACUCUUUUUUAAAUGCAGGUCACCGUCAAGAAAAAGGUAAAGUGGUAUCUUGACAGUGGAUGCUCAAGACACAUGACAUGAGACUCAAAUUGUUUUAUAAAGAUUGCUCAAGUAAAUGGUGGAAAAGUUUCAUUUGGAGGAAACAACAAAGGGAGUAUUGUGGGAUUUGGAACUGUGAAAAUUGGAAAUCUCACAAUAAGUAAUGUUUCCUUAGUGGAAGGACUCAAUUACAAUCUUCUCAGCAUUAGUCAAUUGUGUGAUACUGGUUUCAAGAUCUUUUUUCAAGAAGGAAUAUGUUCUGGAAUCAGUAAAGACUCUACUCAGUCUUUCAUGGGUCGUAGACAUGGAAACAUUUAUCUUCUGGAUGUGAAACCAAAUGAAUCGCAAUGUUUUAUCUCAAUUCAAGACGAAGCAAGCUUAUGGCACAGAAAGCUUGGUCAUGUCAACAUGAAGCAAUUAGCCAAAAUCUCAUCAAAGCAGCUUGUUCGAGGACUACCCAAAUUACCUUAUCAAAAGACUGAUCCAUGCACUCCAUGUAUUCUGGGAAAGCAGGUAAGAAAUUCAUUCAAGCCAAUAAAUCAUGUCUCUACUAAUCAUGUACUACAGUUGCUGCAUAUGGAUCUUUUCGGACCAACCAGAACACAGAGUAUUGGAGGUAAGAAAUAUUGCCUAGUAAUUGUGGACGAUUACUCUCGUUUUACUUGGGUAUAUUUCCUUGCAAGUAAGUCUGAAACCUUCUCGUAUUUUGAAAAAUUUGCUAAAAAUGUUCAAAAUGAAAAAGGAUGUGUUAUCUCAAGUAUAAGAACAGAUCAUGGAGGUGAAUUUGAAAAUCAAGAUUUUACAAAAUUUUGUGAUGAAUCUGGCUUUAAUCAUGUGUUCUCCUCUCCAUAUACUCCUCAGCAAAAUGGAGUUGUGGAAAGAAAGAACAGAUCUCUUCAGGAAAUGGCUAGAACUCUUUUAAUUGAAAGCAAGAUUUCUUCACGAUUUUGGGCUGAAGCUGUUUCAACAGCAUGUUAUAUCAUCAAUAGAGUCUUCUUAAGACCUAUUCUAGAGAAAACCCCUUACGAAUUGUUCAAAGAUAAGAAGCCUAUUGUUUCAUACUUUCAUGUAUUCGGUUGCAAAUGUUUUAUAUUGAAAAAUGCAAAAGAUCGAGUUGGUAAGUUUGAAGAAAGAUCAGAUGAAGGUAUCUUCCUUGGAUAUUCUACAUCAAGCAAAGCCUUCAGAGUCUAUAACAAGAAGAGCCAGUCUAUGGAGGAGUCAAUGAAUGUCAAAUUCCAAGACUCAACGCAAGAUGAAUCAAGUCAGACUCAUCAAGAAGAGUCUGAACCUGCUUCAGAUCUUCCAAAGCUUACAUCUCAAGAAGCAUCUCAGACUCUGGAAAACCAGCUUCAAGAUGUUCAUGAAGAUCCAAACAAAGAAAGAGAUCAUCAACUAGAUAGAUCAACGAGUAACUGGAAGCAUAAGUCCAGUCAUCCCAAAGAUAUUAUAAUCGGCGGAAUUAAUGAAGGAAUUCGCACCAGAUCCAAAAGGCGAGAAGAGUCUAGUGCUGUGGCUCUCGUUUCUGAAAUUGAACCAAAAAGCAUAGACGAAGCUUUAUCUGAUGAAAGCUGGAUUGAAGCUAUGCAAGAAGAGCUCAGACAGUUUAGCAUUAAUGAUGUCUGGGAAUUGACAUCCAAACCGAAAGGUAAAACUGUUAUUGGAGCUAAAUGGGUGUUCAGAAACAAGAUGAAUGAGAAAGGAAAAGUCGUACGAAACAAAGCAAGACUCGUGACCAAGGGAUAUACGCAAGAAGAAGGAAUAGACUAUGAUGAGACUUACGCUCUAGUAGCAAGGUUAGAAGCUAUUCGACUAUUACUUGCGUUUGCUUGUUAUAAGAAUUUCAGGUUAUUCCAAAUGGACGUCAAAAGCGCCUUCCUAAAUGGAGUCAUCCAAGAGGAAGUUUAUGUGGAACAACCACCAAGGUUUGAAGACCCAAAGAAGCCAGACUCAGUCUUCAGACUGAAGAAGGCUCUGUAUGGUUUAAAGCAAGCACCUCGAGCUUGGUACGACAGAUUAAGUAAGUUUUUAAUACAAAAUGGUUUUGUCAAAGGUAAAAUGGAUACUACUUUAUUUAUCAAAAAGGAGAACAAAAGUUUCUUACUUGUUCAAAUAUAUGUGGAUGACAUUAUUUUCGGAUCUUCUAAUGAAAAUAUGUGCAAGAAAUUUUCUAAGUCUAUGCAGGAUGAAUUUGAAAUGAGUAUGAUGGGAGAAUUAACAUUCUUUCUUGGUCUUCAAGUAAAACAAUUGAAGGAAGGAACUUUUAUUUAUCAAGAAAAAUAUGUUAAUGAUCUUGUCAAAAGAUUUGGACUGGAAAAUUGCAAAAAGACCGACAUACCGAUGUCAAGUUCUUUGAAGAUAGACAAAGAUGAAGAAGGGAAGAAAGUUGAUCAAAAGCUGUACAGGAGCAUCAUUGGUUCACUCCUUUAUCUUACUGCUUCUAGACCUGACAUCUUGUUGAGUGUUUGCAUCUGUGCUAGGUUUCAAUCAGAUCCUAGAGAAUCCCAUCUCAGUGCUGCGAAACGCAUCAUUAAAUACGUUGCUUCAUCAUCAAGCAUCGGUCUUUGGUAUCCUAAGAAGGGAGACUUUAAUCUUCUGGGAUAUUCAGACGCAGAUCUGGCCGGUUGCAGAGUUGAUAGAAAGAGUACUUCGGGAACUUGCCAGUUGCUUGGAAGCAGGACAGUGUCUUGGUUUUCAAGGAAACAAAGCACUGUGUCUCUUUCAACAACAGAAGCAGAGUAUGUAGCCCUGGGAAGCUGCUGUUCGCAAAUUCUAUGGAUAAAACAACAGCUAAGAGACUUUGAAAUUGAAGACUCAUGCACAUAGAUUAAUUGCGACAACACCAGCGCUAUCAACCUCACCAAAAAUCCAAUUCUCCACUCAAGAGACCAUGUUCAAAAUGGAGAUGUUUCAAUUCAAUUUGUUGACUCAAAGAAUCAACUGGCGGAUAUAUUCACAAAGCCUUUGGAGAAAAAUCAAUUUGAGUCUAUACGCUCGAGACUCAACAUUUUGAGGUAUGAGGAUAUCAAAGUCUAAAGACUUUCAGACUCAGACUUAUAAGACUUUAUCUGAAAGACAGUCUUGGUACGUCCGUCAGACUGUAAGUCUUUCUAUCUUGAAUCUCAAACUUGAAAAGGUACGAUUGUCAGACUGUGUUUAAAUUGUUGCUAUAUUUAAUUGAUGAAAAUAUUGCAUCAUUUCAUUUUCAAAAGGGAAGUUAUUUUUUAAAUGGCUAUUUUUGCGGAAAAAGACAGUUAUUUUGAAAAGGCAUAUUUUUAUUUCCUUUAUGACGGUUCGUUUAUCCCUCUUUUAACCGAUCUUGAACUGUCGAUUCCUCUUCUCUUUUCUCUCAAAAACCCUAGAAAGCAUCGAUCCUCCAUUCCCGUUUGUUUUCUUCGUUUAAUCCUCAAAAAGUUGUCAUCUUUCCUGGGAAAGUCAAGAAAGGAAUCUUCCAAAAACUGAGAAAGAUGUCAUCUUCAAGAAAGUCUUCGAGAAUUGCAAGCAGGGGACCACGGCGGAUGAGUGAGGGGCCUACGCACUUCGAUCUUACUGAAGAUGAAGUGACUCCAGAUCAGCAAGAGAGCCCACAACAUUCUCAACAGCGUCAUUCUCCUCCAUCUAGUCCUCAAGGCGUUGAUCAUCAACAACAGGAAGAAAUCAUCGAGGAUGCAGACCCUAUAAGAGUUCAAAAGCCCGCUUAUAUUUAUCAGUUAUAUCGUGCCCUAAAAGGAAUUCGUACUCCUUUGAACUACAUUGAUGAUUUUCUUAAAGACAAAGGACAUGGGAACGAAUAUAUCUUUCUGAAAAAAAUGGAAAGUUUGGGAAUUGCUCGAAAAGGAGUGGCUGAGGAAACCCUUGCAAAUAUCCCAAGUGAUCCUCGUGACUGGGGGCCGAAUCCUGUAGAUGGGAAUGAUGAUGAUAAAUUGUACAGUCAAUUCCAACCGAAAAUGGGUGUUGCGGUUGAUAACCAAGGAAAAAGAGGAGAUUUGUUCAGAUCAAAGGAGCAAAAGGAUCUGUACUCGAAAUUGCUGAAGCGUGGGGUGAUAAACCCUAGGAGUGUAGAUUUUGAUUUUCUGGAUGCUGUGAAUAUGAACUUGAGGGAAAAGUUCAGUUAUCUUCAACUUGAAAAAUUCUGCUCUGACUCUACAAAGGCCUAUGUUGAAUUAACUGCAUAUUUCUAUUCAAAUCUAAGCUUUUUGGAUGCGAAUAGAUUCUCGUUCAGCGUUAAAGACCAAGAUUAUGUUGUGGAUAUGAAUAUGCUGGCAGAUGUGUUAGAAGUCGAAAGAGGAAGAUAUCAGCCAAUCCAAGUUUCCAUUGCUCGGGCCACUCUUGAACUGGUGAAGGACAGGAGAACAGAUGAAAAGAUCACCUACUUAAGGAUGGGUGCAUUUAACAUCUUGCUUCACAAGAUUGUGAUUAAUUGUCUCCGACCGAAAUCGACUUCCAAGACUGAUGUUUCAAGUUCAGAAGCCAAGUUGAUGUAUGCCAUUCUCUUUGGAAAAAGGUUUUCUCUCUCUCACACUGUGAUGUUUCACAUGUAUAGAGCAAUGAUGAAGGACAGAGGUCAACUCCCUUACCCAAGCCUUGUUACGAAGUUAUUCAGACAUCUGAAUAUUCAGCCUCCACAAAUCUUUUGUGUUCGACCAUGCGAUCAUAUGGUGGUAGGUCUGAAAAUGGUGAUCAAAAUGCGUCUGAAGGAACUGAGCAAGGAGUUGGAGAAAUUCAAGGAGAAGACUCCUGCAAAAUCUCAUCAAAUAUCUUCUGCAGCUAAAAGAAAAGGGAAGGAGCCCAUGGUUGCUCCAUCCAAGAGAAGAAGAGCUCUCCUUGUUGAGGAUGAAGAUGAUGAGGAAGACAUCACCAUCUCUGCAUUGGCUUUGAAGAAUUUAAGUCGUCCUGUUCCACAGAAAGAAUCGGAGCAAAUGACGAAAGAAGCAGAGGAGAAGGAAGAAGAAGAAAUAGAAGCUGAAAAAGAAACAGAGGAGGAAAGACCUGAAGAAGAAAGAAGAGAAGAAGGAGAACCUGAAGAACACUCUUCUCCACCUGUAGGCACGGAAACAGGGGGAGAUCAGGAGAAAGGAGUGAAGUCUUCAUGUCCUGAUGCAAGUGAAGGAAUCAGUCGCUCACCAGCAGACCCAGAAGAUGUUUAUGCAUCUCAAUUUCCAGAAGAAGGUCAUGAAGUUUCAUCGCCAAACUUGCAAGAUUAUGCUGAUCUACCAUCAUCUGCAUUUACUCCAUCAGAUCGAGCCAAAGCAAGUACUCAAACUGAUAAUGGAGCAGAUUUUCGCAGAAUCAUGGAUAUUCUUUUGGAGAUGCGAGGUCAGAUUUAUGCCUUGGGAUGCGAAGUUCAAAGCUUGAAGAAUGAAGGUCAAGCUUCUUCCUGUUCAUUGAAUGAUAAAAUGCAAGCCCUCUCUGUUCAGAAUCAAGCCAAUGCCAAGAGUGAGGAGAUUGCACAGCUAAAUGAAGACUUUAAAAGGCUGGAAGGCAUCGUUCAGUCUAUGGAAGAUUUCCAGCUUGUCCGCGUUCCCAAGCAAUCUUAACUUCAUCUCAUCCUUUUUAAUGAUGACAAAAAGGGGGAGAGAUGCAAGAUUUGAUAAAAAAAAAAACCUUUCAUUCAACUUUUAAUUGUUUUUGUUGGAUUGUUUUGUGGUUUGAAUUUGUUUGACUUUGGUUUUGUGUCUGGAUGAGAACUGAACUAGACUUGGACUUGACUGCUUUUAUUAACUAAUAUUGAUAUCUUAUGGAUGGCUUCAUCAUAUACUGGACUAACCUAUUUUCUGUGGUUGCAGAUUCUAGUGUUAUUCUGUUAAGACAUUUACCUCUAUAAGAUAUGCAUAUGUGUUUGAGAAAUGUUUUGCAGGUCAAAGAUAUCCAAAUCUGCAGGAAAGUUUUGUCACCAUCAAAAAUGGGGAGAUUGUUGGAGAAAUCUUCUUGAAGUAUUUUGAAGUUGACAAAUCGUUUCUAUCAGUCUAGUCUGAAGGCUUGCAGACUCUGCUAUUUAAAGUCUGAAGACCUUGGUCCAACCAGACUCAAGACUCAAAGUCUAUCUUCAUUGACAGUCUCUAAUCCGUUGAAGAAAGGUUAUCCAGAACUUGAUGUUCCGUUGAGGAUUUAACCUUAUCAACUGGAGAAGAUCUCAUGGCUGGAGAAGACAUAAACGGAGUCCUUUGAUUGAUCGAAGAUUGAUUCGAUAAUUGAAGAUCCGGUGAUUGCCUAAAUAUUAUUGGAAGGUUCUGCUUAUGGAAACCGAGAUCCUGAUUGUAUGGGCGAAUAGGAUUGAUGGGCUAUCAACACGUUCCAUUUAUAGCUUGGACAAACUUCCUAAUUGAUUCCGUCCAACGAGUAGAUUGGAGGAAUUCCUUUGGUAAGUGCCAACGGGUAUGAUGGCAUAAAGGAGUAUAUAAGGAAGACUGUCUUAGUUGUUCAAGGUGUGCGCGAUAGAAGAAUUUCAAAGUCUGAAGCUCCUUUUUGUUUAGACAAAUCCUUUGAGCGAAUACUUGUAUACGAAAGAGAGAGUCUAUAUUUGUGAGAAAUCUUGAGGAGGUGUGGUAGAACAUCUACACUGUGGAAUCAAGGCAAAGCUGUGCUGUAACCUCUCUCUUGUUCAUAGUGGAAUCCAGCCAAUAGGCUGUCAGUGAAGAAGAGUGGACGUAGGCUUGAUAUAAGCCGAACCACUAUAAACCGCGUGUUCAAUUUUCUCUUCUCUCAGUCUUACUUUGAUUAUCGUUUCAUCCAACUGUCUAGUAUUGUGCAAUUGCUUGAGAAAAAAUUCUUUAUAUACCUAUUCACCCCCCUCUAAGUACUCAUACUAGCAAUAUCACAUACCAGUCAAACCAUCGGGACCUGGGGCUUUUGAAGCACCUAACUGAAAAGUGGCAUCUUUUACUUCUUCCAUUGUUACCUGUGCUAAAAGCAUGUUGUUCAUUUUUGUGGUAACCAUCUGUGGACAUUGUUGUAGAAUCUGGUCAUAACAGCAAGGGCCAGAGGUUGUGUAUAGGAGUGAAAAAUAAUUUGUAGUCAUUUGUUGGAGCUGGUCAGGAUCCCGAAUCUAUUGUUGAUGGUUAUCUCGCAAUACUGAAAUAUGAUUACGUUGUCAUCUUUGGAGAGUAGUGGCAUGAAAAAAUCUAGUAUUGUGAUCUCCCCACCUUAACCAAUUUAUCCGAGAACGCAUCGCCCAAUAUUGCUCUUCCCUCUACCAUACUUUGUGAAGUUCUGCUUUUAAAAGUUGUUGCUGUGCCUAAUUUAGAGAGGUAGGGUAUUGGUUAGUCAGCAUUUCUAACUGGUGCUCCAAUUGUGUUGCCUGUUGUCUGUUGUGGGAGAACCUCUUACGACUCCAAAUGGAUAAAUCAAUAGCAACCGCAUGUAGUUUUGCUGAUAGAGGAGAGUCCUUUCUUGAACCGGAUUGCCAAGAGGUUUGAAUGACUGAGCGACAAUUAGGAUCCUGAUUCCAGAAGACUUCAAAGGUAAAAUGUCUUUUUCUUCGAACCAUGCAAGGUUUUGUAUUUAAAACAAGUGGACUAUGGUCUGAUCCUACUGCAGGGAGUGCAAUCACCUGAGCAUUUGGGAACAUAACGCGCCAGUCAGCAGUGCAGACAGCUUGAUCAAGACGUUCCUUUACCAAUGCAUCCCCAUCUCGAUUGUUGGACCAAGUGAAUGCGCAGCCAUGAGAAGGAAGAUCCAGCAAGUUGCAAUCAUUGAGAACCUCUUGAAAAGAAGAAAAGCGAUAAGAGUUAGCAGGUCGAGAUCCCAUUUUCUCCCAACGGUGAAGAAUUUCAUUAAAAUCACCACGGCAAACCCAAGGUAAAGCAUUGGAUCUGCUAUUCUGUCUCAAAGUCUGCCAAAGAUACUAACGAUCUUGAUAAACUGCAGGAGCAUGAAGACAAGUAAUCCUCAUGGACCUUCCUUCCGAAAUGUCCUAGUUGAUGAAAUCAAAAUAAUGCUGAGAGGAGGUGAAAUCAGUCAACUGAAAGCCAUCAUUCCAAAAAAGGGCCAAGCCACCCGCAGAGCCAACAGGGCUGAAUACUCGAAGAUGCAAAAAACGCAAGGUACGUUUCAAACGAAAUAAAACAUCAUCACCAUUCUUUGUUUCCAUCAAAAACAACAAGUAUUAUGGGAUACCGGUUUUAGAUUUUUCUUUUUUUUAGACGAAAAUUAUUUACUUCGAUUCUAUGUUAGACUUUUGGACUCGCUUGCAAAAACGGAAAAAAAUAAAAAUAAAAAGAAGAAGAAGAAGACGGAGAUGACAUUAAAACUAUGGGUAGGGAAGGGAUAACCCCACGUUAAGAAAAAUGGAACUAAGUAGCAGGCGGUAUUAUUGCGAUGUCGAAGGGUACGAUGGGAACAUUUGACUAGGCCAAAGGAAAACGGAAUUUUCCAUUACUAAUAUAUGUUAAAAUGUCCAAUUCAAAAAUUUAAAUUUAUCCGUAGAGAAAAACCAUAUAUAUAUACUACGUAAGCUCUAUAAAUAAGUGAUAUGAGAUAUUUUAACAAUCCAUUUCACAUACACAUCGAAUUGAAAAUGGCACUUGAAAUUUAACAUGAAGCAUUAUAUGUGAAAUAAACUGAGAUAGAGCCUGAUUCUGUUAUCAUAUUAGAAUGUCUAAACAAAAGUUAAAAUUUAUCAUUGAGAUGGAUUACGUGUAAAUAAAAAACAUAUUAAUCAUGUAGAUAAGCAACGGGGCAAUGCAUAAUGUACACUGAACACUCUUUCUGCAAAAUUUUCAGCUUACUAAUUUGUAUACUCGCUCAUGACUUAAAAUCGACCAACGAAAUAGCUCAAUGGGCAAAAUUUAAGAAAACGACAUAGCUUGCUAUCAAGUCUCAUCCACCAGUAGGUUCAUUAUAUAGCUCUUCUGAACAUGUACAUUUUAAUAUACAGAAAUACAGUUGAAUAGCUAAUAAUUGUGUGAUUUUGAAGAUCUGCUUAUGACAUGAUCAAGUGAAAAAAAAAAAAAAAUUAUCAACUGUCGUAGUAGUACCAAAGAAGAUGGUUAAUAAAACUGACAAAUGAUGGUAAUUUUUCAAUUUCUCAGUCAAAAUUUGAGAUCUUAAUUCCUUACGGCUGUCUAAUCAUAUUGUCACGCCUUGAAUUUAUUUAGAUACUAAUUCAAGAGUUGAGUAUCAUAGCACUAGCUAUCUCCUACGUUAUAAUUAGCUCUAAACAUUAAGGGCAUGUUUGUUUUUAUUCUUUUUUUAUGUUUUCGAACAAAUUUUUUGUUUUUCUGUUCCAGGGAACAAAAAAAGAACAGAAACAUAUUUGUUUGCGUUUUUGUUCCAAAUCUAUUUUUUUGUUCCCAGGAACACAUUUGAAACAAAAAUGGGAACAAUUUUUAAAAACAAAUUUUCUCUCUCCUCUCUUUUUCUUCUUUUUUUUUUCUUCUUUGGCUGGUCACUGGCCUCGGCCAUGGCCAGCGAUCAGCCGUCAAGGGCCAACGACGCUGUCAAGGGCCGGCGACCUCGUCGGAGCGUCAUCAGCCCCCAAUGAGGCCGAGCAUCGCCGGCCCCUCGGCCUCGCCUUGGCUGGGCGAGCUCGCCUAGAUCCAAUGAGCCUGAGCUCGCCUAGCCACCGACGAGGCUCGACGACCUGGCGGUGGCCCAGUGAGGCCGAGCCUCGUUGGUGAGUGGGCAAGCUCAGGCUCGCCCAGAUCUAGCAAGCCCAAGCUCGCCCAACCAAGGCCAGGCCGAGGCUUGCCCAACCACGGCGAGCCUCACCGUCGCUAGGCGAGGUUGCCAGCCCUCGUCAGCCGAUCGCCGGCCAUGGCCGAGGCCGGCGACCGGCCAAAAGAAGAAAAAAAGAAAAAAUAAAGAAAAUAAAAAUAAAAAUAUUUAAAAAUUAAAAGAAACAAAAAAUGAAUACAAAUUUACUAAACGUGUUUCUGUUCAUUUUUUAUUCUCGGAACAAGUUUACCAAACAUUUUCUUCUGUUCAAAAAUUAUUCCCCGGAGCAGAAAUAAUUUUUUCUAUUUCUGUUCUCUGAAACAAUUUUUGAACAGAAACGUUACCAAACGCGCUCUAAUUCUCCAUAUAAAUCAACCGUGGAUCGAUAUCAUUCAUCAUUCGCUAACUUUUUGUACACCCAUUCCUCGUCAUGGGCCAUGUAGCAUAGAAAGUUUAGCAUCCCUUUUUUCCCCUUCUUUUGGCACAUGCUUCGUAUAUUUUUUUUAGUUCACCCGAGUACAAACAAAAGAUUAAGCACCUCCUAUAAAAAGGAAGAAAUUCCCUCGUCUUGGGCUCCAUAGAAAGCUCACGGAGUAACACGAGAUCCUUUCAAGACCGAUUAAAUACUACUCUACGUACGCUUUUGCAGCUCUCAUGUCCCUAUCACAACAUAUUUGCUGACUUCUAUCGUUACUCAACCAAAUAAAGCAAAUUCGAAUAGAUGAUGAUGAUGAUAACGAUGAUGAUGAUGAUCACGAUGACAGCGACCAUGAUGGUAAUAGUAAAAAAUUAUAAUUAGGCUAAUUAUGAUCUGAUCGGUUACAGAUCAGGAAACAAUGAGACCUAUAUCAAGUCUCACUAAUUGGACACCAAAAAGUGCACCCAAAAAAAAAAAAAAAUUAAAGAGUGUAUAGCACGUUCUUCAAGCUCUCGAGCACCAGUCUUGCCUCGUCUAUUCGAUUCCUACUUCGGCUAUAUUCAAGCUCUUCCUUAUGUCGUCUAUUCGAUUCCCACUUCGGCUCAAAAGCAUGCACCUUCACAACUCAAUCCUUCGGCUGCUCUCACCCGAUUCCAAUCUUGUGGUGUCGAACCCGGUCGGAGCUUGGCACCGUCCCUGAUGACCCGCCGCUGACGAACCUCCGUCCUUCCUUCUCCUUGAACUCGAGCUGCUCUCGAGCGCAGCACUGGCCUUGACGGCGAGCGAGCAGAGCUCUUGGAGAGAGAGAGGGGCUCGCGACAUGGAGAGAGGCAAGAGGAAAUAGAGUUGGCCCAGACGUAGGUCUUCUUUUUCCUGAAUCUGAGGGACUAUGGAGUCGAUGAACAUGGAGUCUGAGCUGCAGAGGAAGCAGUUAGGGUUUUGGGAGAGGAAGUGAGAGGCCUUCAUGGUUUCAGUGAACUCUUCCAGCCUUCCAUCCACGUGAAUGAGCUUGAGCAUGGAUGGAUAUGAUGAUGACCCGUUAUGGUGAUGGGUGGUCAUGGCGAGGCCGCCACUUCUGGUGAUCUGGGGAGCUGCACAGUUGCCCAUUCUAUGAGAGAGAGAGAGAGAGAGAGAGAGAGAUAUUGAUUGGUGUUCGUUUGGCGAAUAUGUUUGAAAUGGGUAGGCAUUAAAUAGGGGGAUUAACGCGCGUUUGACCCACUUUUGACCCUCAACGGUUUGAUUUAUUACCAGUUCCACGUCAUCCUAGGACGUGUUUAUUCAUUACGCGUGUGCCAUAAAUGAGAAUUAUUGGUAAUUGGUUGCAUAUUAUGUAAUUCGCACAUGGGCUUGCCAAUAGCAGAAAUUCCCUCAGGAAAAGCAGUGCCAAGGGUUUCGAUCGAAGGACAAUUAAUACGAUACUUCUUGUAAUAAUUGCCCAAAAUCCCCCCUCAUAUAAUAAAAUCUUAAACUUGAAAAGUUAUGGAUUAUCUCCUCCCAUUUUGGCACUUGUUGCCCUCUAGCCCCUAACUUUUUGGAAAUUUACAUACUAUCCCCCUAGAUUUUAUGCUUCGUGGAGGUUAGCCGUUUGGCUGAUUGAGAUUUUGUAUUGGAGGGCAUGUGAGAGUUUGUGAGUUUUGGAUUUGGUGGGGUUUAGGUUGAAGAAGAAGAUGAUGAUGGUGAUCACAGUUGCGGGGGAGAAAGAGGGAACAUUGAAAAAAGAAAAAUAAAUGCCAAUUAAAGGACAUCACCAAGUUUCUAAUGAUAUUAAUGCCAAGUCAGCAAUUCUAUCACAGGAACGAGUAGGAUGACAAUUUCAAGAAGCAUUGGGAUGAUUUAGAAUAAUAAUAAUAAUAAUAAUAAUAAUAAUAAUAAAAGGUAGAAGAAUGGUUUUGAUUUCUUAUUUAAGGUAAAGGCACCAAUGGUUCACCUUAUCAAAUCCGCUAAAUCCUUUUUGGCAUACUAACCCCUCUAGGGCACUCGGAGGAAAUAUAAAAAGGUUAAUACUAUUGACAUAUUUAUAAUAGAUUUAUUCCAAAAAUAAUUUUUUCACCACAAAUUAAUAUACUUGUAAUAAGUUUAUCAUUUAUUAAUUUAUGUUAAAUUUUAUUAUCAAAUUACUUUAUUGGAUAAUAUGAAGCAGUUAAAUAGUGUAGGAGUUUGGGGUUUGGACCUCAAUUUUCCAUAAAUAUAUUGGUUUGCUAUAUUAAUUAAAUUUAAUAUAAGUUAACAUAAGAUAAAUUUAUUAUAAAUAUAUUAAUUUGAGUUUUUUUUAUAGUGAAAAAAUUAGUUAUAGAUAAGUUUAUCAUAAGUGCACCGAUUUGAAAUAUUUUAUAAUUAAAAAUUAAUUUAUAGAUAAAUUUAUCCUAUCUAUAUUAUUUUAGAGUGUUUUGUGGUAUUAAUUUAAUAUAAAAAUGUCAAGUCACGUCAAAUACCGAGAAUACGCCGACGAAGAAAAUUCCUGAUCACUCGGCAUUGCCCCAAAAGAAAAAGAAAGAUAAAAAGUGAGUCACUCGGAUUCCCAUGUGCAAUUAGGCGAAAGACACGACACGACACAAGAGGUUGUCCCAAGCCUUUGUUUCUUUCCCGUGCAUUGCAAUGCAAUUCCCAGGAAGCAACCAAUAUGCGGGACCCACGUUGAAAACUCUCUAGGAUUUGAUCGAUGAGGUUGACAAUUCUCACGCGGCACUGCUAUGGGAAACUUGUAAUAGGGGCACUUUUGCUUUGCCUUGUAAUCGGACUCCAAUUAUUAGGCAGGAAAUAUGUACGUCCUCGGUCCUUUCUUUUCUUUUCUUUUCUUUUUUUGUUCAUCCUCACAAUGUCAUAACUUAAGACUUAAGAGAUAGUAACAUAAAUAAUCAUUGCAUUCUAAUCUAAAUGAUCGUGAUAGUAACAUAUUGUAGUCCUUAAACUUUAAAUUUGUUUAAUGUGAUCAUUGAACUAUAACUCAAUAUGCAAUUUGGUAUCCAAGUUAUUACUUUGUUCAAUAUGACCCUUAAAUUUUAGUCAAAUAUGUAAUUUAGUCCUUCAAUUUUUAAUUUGUUCAAUAUGAUUCAUAAAAUUUUGAUAUACAGUCAACUUAAUCAUUGAACUAUAUUAAAAUAUAUCAUGAUGUUCUUCUAUAGUACAAGUUUAGCCACAAUAUUGAAUAUUUUCAUAUAGUUUCUACACUAAAUUGAAUAUGUAUCAUAAAUUUAUGGACUACAUUGAACACGUUGAAUGUUCAGGAACCAUCAAAGAUUACAUAAACAAAUUAAAAAUUUAGAUACCGCAUUACACAUUGGGUCAAAAUUCAAGAACUAUUUAUAUCAUUUUCCUUAAAUUAAAAUUUUUCCUCGAUCUUAGAUUAAGGAGAAGCUACGAACUAUAUAUGUCGUUCUGUAAACUUUUACUAAGAAAAAGUCAUCAUCAAGACAAUUUUUAUUCGUUAUGAUGAUGGGUUGGAAUCAUCAAGUGAAAAUCCAACACGCGGGUCACUUUUUUGCUAUGGAAAUUUGAUUGAUCUGAGAAAAUCACAUCAAACAAUGCAACUUUUGACAAAACAAAGAUUCAUAAAGAACGUCAUGCUCGAUCUGCAGAAAAUAUUUGAUUCCUAUCACAAGAUGAUCUUUUGGUCUCGGCACAAAAUUCUGGACUUUAUUAACCUUAAAUUGAUACAAUUCUUCUGGCAUUGCUUCGACCUAGUUUUUUUCCUCUACUACUAAUUAGAAUCGGAGUCCUUGCUAGGGCAUUAGUUUCAUCUAUAUAGGGGGUAAUUAAUCGAUAAAAUACCGACCAAUUGUUUCACAUGCAAAAUUUUCCCUAAUGAGCUUACCUAAAAUUAUUGAAACUUCUAUGGAUGGCGAUCAACUAGUCCAUAUUAAAUUCAUAUUAUGAUCUAGAUUUUUCAUUUUGCUUAAUUCCAAGCAGCCACAUGAUCAUUCGUUUAGUACGUCCUCGUGCCCUCGUUGCCUUUCAGUUGAAAAUAUAAGAAUAACCCAAUUUCUAGAUAGUAGAUAUAAAGUCCACAUGACGUUAAAUUUACGUACCAAACUCAAAAAUAAAGCGUCUUCUUUUUAGGUCUAGAAGCAUUUCUGGCCGAAAAAGAAAAAUNNNNNNNNNNNNNNNNNNNNNNNNNNNNNNNNNNNNNNNNNNNNNNNNNNNNNNNNNNNNNNNNNNNNNNNNNNNNNNNNNNNNNNNNNNNNNNNNNNNNNNNNNNNNNNNNNNNNNNNNNNNNNNNNNNNNNNNNNNNNNNNNNNNNNNNNNNNNNNNNNNNNNNNNNNNNNNNNNNNNNNNNNNNNNNNNNNNNNNNNNNNNNNNNNNNNNNNNNNNNNNNNNNNNNNNNNNNNNNNNNNNNNNNNNAUAUGAUUUCGAUAAUACAUUAGAAUGUUUAACUUAGUGAAUAUAAAAACCUUCUAAACCCCAUAAAUAAGCUAAACAAAUUUAACAAUAACCAUACAUAUAGAAAAGUGGAACUAAGUAGUAGACAAUUAUUAUUGUGACAUAGACAUCAUACUUAUCAAGGUAUAAUGUGAACAAUUUAUAUAUAUAUAUAUAUAUAUAUAUAUAUACAAUUUAUAUAUAUAUUUUGCGAAAGUGGUCACAUUCAUUGAAGUGAUGUGAUAUUUCACUUAAAUUCUACCCUAGACUUUUGGACUUGUGCGAAUUCUACCUUAGACUUUUGGACUUGUGCGAAUAUAUAUAGGGAGACGAUUACACGUAAAAUUCAACAAAUGAGAAGGCUUUACAUGCGAAAUAAAUUGGGAUAGAACAUAGUUCUAAUACAAUGUUACAAUGUUUAAUUUGAAAGCUUAAACUUAUUGAUACAUAAAAACCAAUUAUAUGGAAAGAGCUUAUAAACUCUGUAACUAAGUUAAACGACUUAAAUAAUAACUAUACAUAUGGAAAAGUGGAACUAAGUGGUAGACAAUUAUCAUUGCGAUGUAAACAUCAUACUUAUGAAGGUAUAAUGGGAACAUUUGAGUGAGAUGAAAGGAAGGCGAGUUUUCCAUUAAUAAUAUAGAUCGAAAAAAGAUAUAUGGAUAAUGUCCAAUGAAUUCUUAUUUUUCAAAAUUUCCAGCUUUUUAAUUUGUAUACUUGUUCGUGAAUUAUGAAAUGACAAACCAUAGAGCUCAAUGGCCAAAAGUGAAGGAAACAACAUAGCUCUCUAUCUAAUAUCAUCCACAAGUAGGUUAAUUAAAUUAGCUUUUCUUGAACACGUAUAUUUUCUUUUAGAGAAAUACAAUUCAAUAGCUAUAACUUGUGUGAUUUCAAAAAUGUGCUUAUGUGUCUCUCAAUAAGGCUACAAUUUAUUCUAUCAAGCUUUAAAUUAAGGGAAAAAACAUUAAUCAACCAUCGUAGUAGCAAAAAAGAAGGUGGUUAACAAGAUUAACAUAUGAUGGGUAGAUUUUGCAUUUGCUAUUGUAAGUCUAAAUUUGAGAUAUGUGCGAUUGCCUAAUCAAACCGUCACACUUUAAACUCAAUUAGAUAGUAAUUUGAGAAUCAAUUAUCACAGCACUAGUGGUCUCUUUAAUUAGCUAUAUUAAACAUUAAUUCUUCACAUGAACCAAAUUGAGAAUGGAAGUUCUUAUUUUUUCAAUUUCCUCUUUUAUUGGCCAAAUCAUCAACUGUUCCCAGCCUCUGUAACCCCAUUCCUUAUCAUGGGCCAUAUAUCAUAGAAAGAUUAGUAGCUCUAGUCCUUUUCUUAAGCACUGCAUGUAAAAGUGAAGAAAUUCCCUCGUCUUAGGCUACAUAAAGAGUUCAAGAAAUGGAAUAUCACGAGAUCUUUCCAUGCUUCGCACGCUUUUACACCUCUCAUGUCCUUAUCACGACAUAUUUUGCUGGCUUCUAUCAUUAUUUUACCAUAUAAAGCUACUUUAAUCUAAAACAACAGCAACAGCGACGACGACGACAACGACCACCACAACAAUAAUAAUAAUAGUUAUAAUGAUUGUGAAUAAUGGUGAUAUUUAAUAAUUGAAAGAAUUUUUAUUAGGCUAAUCAUAAUCAGAUUGAUCACAAAUCUAAAAACAAUUAGACGAAUAUUAAGUCUCCCAAAAAAGAGUUGUUAAUUUUAGGACGACCAAAUAAAGAGUUGUUCACACAAAAAAAAAAAGGGAAAGAAAAAAAAAAGAGUUUCUGGCAUAUUCUUCAAGCUCUUCCUUCUGUCAUAUAUUCGAUUCCCUCUUCAUCUCAUACUCCUGCACUUUCACAACUCAAUUCUUCGGCUGCUCUGAACCAAUUCUAGUCUCGUGGCAUCGAACCUGAUGGGAGCUUGACACCUCCGAUGACCCGCCAUUGACGAAACUUUGUCCUUCCUUCCGUCCGAACUCGAGCUGCUCUCGAGCACGGUGCUGGCCUUGAUGGCGAGCAUGCAGAGCUCUUGUAAAGAGAGCGGCACUCGGGACAUGGGGAGAGGCAAGAGGAAAUAGAGUUGGCCCAAACAGAGGUCUUCUUCUUCGUGGAUUUGGGGGAUUAUGGAGUCGAUGAACAUGGACUCUGAGCUGCAGAGGAAGCAGUUUGGGUUCUGGGAGAGGAGGUGAGAAGCCUUGAUGGUUUGGGUGAACUCUUGCAGUCUUCCGUCCAUGUGAAUGACCUUGAGCGUGGAUGGAGAUGAUGAUGGCCAGCUAUGGUGAUAAGUGGUCAUGGAAAGGCCACCAUUUCUUGUGAUCUGAGGAGCCGCACAGUUGCCCAUUCUAUAUCUUUUGGGGAGGGGGAGUUUGGUUUUGGGGGCGUGGGUGGGGUGGUUAGAUAGAGAGAGAGAUUGAUGUUUGUUUGGCCAAGAUGUUUGACAUGGGCAAGUAUUUAAUGGGGGAGUAUAGGCGUGUUUCAGAAUUUUGGAUUGACCAAUGACCCAACUUUUUGACCCUCAACAGUAUAAUUUGUAUACAAAUACUUUUUUGGGUACUUUGUUCCAAAUCUCCUUAAACUUUACGUCCAUCGCACAAUAAAUUUUAAACCUUAGAAAGUGACACAUUAUCUCUUUCAACUUUGGCACCGUUGGCCCCAUAGCCCUCGGACUUUAGAUAGUUACGACGAAGCUUCAAGGUUAGGGAAGUUCGUUGAGCUUGGCCAUGGCAGUCCAGAGUUUCUUUGAGCUCGCGGCUAUGGACACUCGGGAUUAGCACUAGUGGGGUUGUUAGGUUUUACGGGUUUUGAGGUCAGCAAAUUUCGUCGCUAGACCAACUGGAGAUGAUACUUUCAAAAAGUACAUGGAUGAUUUCGAACCAAAAACAAAAGUAGAGGGGGAAUUUUAAUCUCUUGAUUAAGGUAUAGAGACCAACGAUGAUAUUUUACUAAUUACUUCCGUUAAAUACUUUCAGUAAAUUAGAUCAUUUGGAAGAUAUUUUCAUCUGCUAAGUCUUUCAAAUACGUAAGGAUAUGCGAAUAAAGAAAAAUCAUAAUUCACCGUCGAUAAGGCAGUGUCAUGAAAAAUUGACAGAUGACAUGAGUUUGUUAGUCAUUUGGUAUGUUCUCCUUAAUUACUCAGCAUAUUCCAAAACGGAAGAGAACAAUGAAGUAAUCUACUCGGAUUCCCACGGGUGGUGGAAUGAAAAACACGAAACAAAAGUUGUCCCAGCGGUCGACGUACAAAGAAUCAAAAGCCAUUAGUAGACGACAUGGGGGAGUAUAGGCGUGUUUCAGAAUUUUGGAUUGACCAAUGACCCAACUUUUUGACCCUCAACAGUAUAAUUUGUAUACUAAUACUUUUUUGGGUACUUUGUUCCAAAUCUCCUUAAACUUUACGUCCAUCGCACAAUAAAUUUUAAACCUUAGAAAGUGACACAUUAUCUCUUUCAACUUUGGCACCGUUGGCCCCAUAGCCCUCGGACUUUAGAUAGUUACGCAUUACUUCCCUAACCUUGAAGCUUCGUCGAGCUGGCCAUGGCAGUCCGGAGUUUCUUUGAGCUCGCGGCUAUGGCUGCUCUGGAUUUAGCAUAGCGGGGUUGUUAGGUUUUAUGGGUUUUGAUGUCAGCAAAUUUCGUCGCUAGACCAACCGGAGAUGAUACUUUCAAAAAGUACAUGGAUGAUUUUGAACCAAAACCAAAAGUAGAAGGGGAGUUUUAAUCUCUUGAUUAAGGUAUAGAGACCCACAAUGAUAUUUUACUAAUUACUUCCGUUAAAUACUUUCAGUAAAUUAGAUCAUUUGGAAGAUAUUUUCGUUUGCUAAGUCUUUCAAAUACGUAAGGAUAUGCGAAUAAAGAAAAAUCAUAAUUUACCGUCGAUAAAGCAGUGUCAUGAAAAAUUAACAGAUGACAUGAGUUUGUUAGUCAUUUGGUAUGUUCUCCUUUAUUACUCGGCAUAUUCCAAAAAGGAAGAGAAAAAUGAAGUAAUUUACUCGGAUUCCCAUGGGUGGUGGAAUGAAAAACACGAAACAAAAGUUGUCCCAGCGGUCGAUGUACAAAGGAUCAAAAGCCAUUAGUAGACGACAUGGCAAGACUGGCAUCCCAAGCCUCCCCUUUUUGACGCUCAGAGGUUGCCGAAAGGUCCACGCAGUGCAAUUCUGAGGCAGCAACCCAUGCUUGACCGACGUUGAAAAUCUAGACUUGACUGAUGACGGGGAAAAUUCUCACGCAGCACUGCUGUUGGGAACUUAAAAUAUAGGGAUAUGUGCCUUAGGAGGUUUAACAACUUCUCAUAAAAAGACAAAUAAAUUUUAAAGUUUUCAAAAAAUAUAAUCAAUUUUUUUUAUUAACUCCAUUCAACUUAACUAACAAAAAAUAUCGAUAUAUAUAUAUAUAUAUAUAUAUAUAUUUUCUCUCUCCUAUGUGGCAUUGACAUGACUAAAACAAGAAGAACAAGACUAAAACAAUGUCAUUUUUUUUCCAAAUUAAACCUUUAAAACAAAUUAAAUUAGAUUAAAAUAAAAACUAAAUUAAAAGAGAGAGAAGAAAAACUAGGCAAGGGCUUGCCUAUAGUUAGUAGGGGUGAGCGGUUCCAGUUUCCGGUUCGGUUCCGUCUGGAACCUGGAACCUGGAACCUACCCGUCAAAACCAAGAACCUGGAACCUACCCUGUCACAGGUUUCGGGGUCGGUUCCAGGUUCCACAGGUUCUUUUUUUUUUUUUUCAUUUUCAAAUUUGAAUUAUAACGUACACGCAUACUCUACAGUAACUUGAAGGACAAGGUCUUUUGUUCAGUAAUAGAUUGCAAACAAUCAUACUAAAAUCUUGCCAUUGCUCUAUGAGAUAUCAGUUGACAUAAUAAGCAGACAUAAACAUAGUGAUAUGUCUCCAAAAGUAAAACAUAACAAGAAGAACCUUGAGUUUCACAGGAAGGCGUCUCUAUGUCUGACGGUCUUUCUUUUGAUUGAAUAGGAGCAAAGCUUGCAUUUAAAAAGGUCUUAUAUGAGAAGCAGCUGAAGUCCAUACUGAAAGUCCGAACCCAAUGAGCCUAAAUGGGUUAAUGCUGCAAAAGAAAAGGUACAUAAGAAUGGAUUAGAGAAAAUGGAAUCAUUGCGACAACUCAAAAUUUGCAUGUUCAAAUGAUGAUGACAAUGAAAUUAAUGCAAAAGAACAGACACAAGUGUCAUUGCUCACUCAAAUUAAGGAAGAUUAUGGCGUAGCACAGGGCCCAAAAAAUCCUUUUUCUUUGUGAAAAUCAAUCCUACAUGACAAAUUCACUUAUCUCAAAAUGAAUUUCAAUAACUUGUGGAUGCUCUGCUAAAUUUACUGUACUACACAUCCAGGGAAUAGAUCAAAAGCUUUGCUCGAAAUGUAGUUACAGCACACACUUUAGAAUAUCAAAGAGCAACUAUUUCUAACUGGGCAACCUACCACUUCGCCUAAAGCAAGAAAUAGUAAUUUGAAAAAAUAAGCAUCGCUGAAGAUGUACAAGAGAGAAAGCUUGGCAUCUUCACGAGCUAACUGAAGACCAUAUUUACCUGCAAGGUGUUGAUCGGCAGUUUAAUGGCAUCAACAGGAACAUAAGAUCCUAAGAGAAUUGGAGCAACUACCACCUACAUAAGGAAAUAUAUAGCAAAAGAUUUAACCAUCAAUACUUAACUUGUCUUGUGGCAUCUUCACAAGCUGACUGAAGACCAUAUUUACUUGAAAGGCCGACGAAGUUUAGCGAAAAACGCAUCGUGAAUUCGAUCAAAAGAAAAGAAAGGCCGACGAACCCACAACACCAUCCUUUCCACGGAACUCAUCGAACCCAAGAAACCAUCCCACAAUUCCCACAGACCCAAAACCGAAAAAAUCAUCGAAACAGCGCAUGACCCACGAAACACAGAGAAAUGGACGAGCCCAGAAUCUAACCGGAAUCAAGAAACGGGAAGCCCACGUGACCAACAAUGGAGGGCGGUCGAUCUUUUGACCAGAAGCAGUCGAGUCUCAGAGAGAUCGAAAAGGCACAUAUGGGUUUGGGCGAGCGGCGUCAAGCGGCGAGGGUUCGGGCGAGCCGCGUCGGCGACUGGCGUCCAGCGGCGUCCGGCGGCGGCGGCCUUGAAGGUGAGCAGCGUCCGGCGGCGAGACUCAAAGCGGCGUCCGGCGGCGAGACUCAAAGCAGCAUCCAAUACCGUGACUCACGGAUUUGGGCAGCGACUGGCGUCGAGCGGCGAGGGAUUGGGCGAGAGGCGUCGGCGACUGGCGUCCAGCGGGGUCCGGCGGCGGCGGCCUCCUCGAGGGCGAGCGGCGUUCGGCGGCGCAACUCAGAGCGGCGUGAGUCGUGACUGUGUGAGUGUGAGGUCUGAACUUUGAAGACUGAAAUCUGAAUGAAGAGCUGUGGACUGGAGAUUCUUUGGAGCCCUAAACCGGUUCCGCAACCGGUUCCGGUUCCGGUUCCAAUGGAAACCUGGAACCGAACCGGAACCGGUCCCGUAGGAACCGGGAACCGAACCGGACCCUCCCCCGGUUCGGUUCCGGUUCCCGGGUAACCCGGGAACCAUGCUCAGCCCUAAUAGUUAGUGAGGGCGACCGCCCAUUGCCCCACCAUUGCUAGCCCUUUCUAGGGAUAGUGUGGCAGCGAUGGUAAGGGCCCUCAGGCCCUCCCUAGUUUUCCUCCCUUCCCUACUUUUUUUUUUUUAAUUUUUAAAAUUAUUCUUAUUUUAAUUUAAUUUAACAAAACUUUGGGUCAAAAAAUCAAUUUUGGAUCAUUACCAACGUCAUUUUAACUAUAUCCUUCAUGUUUUAGUCAUUUUAAUGCCAUGGUUAAUAAAAUGAAUUGAUUUCAUUAAUUUAACACAUUUUAGGACUUUGAUUAUACUUUUUGAAAAGUUUUAAGAUUAAUUGUACUUUCCCAAAAAUAUGUAUGACACUUUUUGACUUAGUCCAACAUUUACGCUAAAGUGGAUCGCAUAAGAACAAGAAGACCUAUUGACAUGAAGUCUUUGCCUUCUUUGAAAAGAAAGACCACAUAUUGCUAGUACGACAACGAUUAUUGGUGGUAAUCUCUCUUUGAAUUUUUUUUUUAAUUUGAUUACUUUUGAACUUGAUGAAAUUGUCCAAUUAAUACUAAAUUUAUUGUACAAAUGUCAAUUCAAUCCUAAAUUUUCUAAUUUAAUCUUAAAUCUCUGUGUGAAAUUCAUAUGUAGUCUUUUUCUACCAAUUUUAGUCGAAAAUUGUUGAUGUGACGCGAACCAUAUGAUAUGGUCACCGAUGACUAAAUUGUCACGUUAGCAAUUUUCGGCAAAAAUUGGCCAGAAUGAUUAUAUUGAAAGUUUAAAAAAAAAAUAGAACUAAAUUGGUAAACUUGAAAAAAAUUAAGAUUGAAUUGGCAUUCAUAUAAUAGGCUGAUUGGAAUUUUUUUUUUUUAAAUGUAGGGAUUGUUGUAGACAAUUUAUAAGCGAUGUUUUCACUCUUUGAUUUAUUUAAAAUUAUGACAAACUAACUUCUUUUCUAAGAAUAUCUGAUCCAGUAUGACAAAUCCCUUAUUUUUUCCUUUCCAUUCACUCUAUACAAUAGACUUUGAAUGGCUACUAUGUUAACCUGUUUCAGAUAUGAAUCUAUUUGAUUCAGAGGGAACCCACUGAACAAAAGUGAGUAUUCAUAGGACAAUUGUCACUGCUUAUGGAACCUAAGUGUAGUCCAUCGUGUAUUGAUCUUUUGGAUUUGGAAUUUCCUAUUCGUCAAAAGAGAAAAAGGGUGCGUUACACCCUAAAAUUCUGCAAUAUGCAUAAGAUGUAAGCAUGUACUAUACCCAACUCUAUGGAAAUAUAUAUAUAUAUAUAUAUAUAUAUAUAUAUAUAUAUAUAUAUAUAUAUAUAUAUAUAUAUAUAUUUUGGAGCCUUCAUGUAAGUUGAACGUUAUCUCAAACAUGAAGUGGGUAGCGGGCCACUCACUAGUUGAAAAGACUCGCGUGUGUUAUUUUGAGAUAAGUUAUGCCGCGUUACUUACUAGAUAAUCAACAUGUUCUAUUCUAAUUGACCACCCGGCAUGAUUGAUUACGACAGGUAUGCUUUAAUUGGCCUAUUCAAUUGUGAAAUUUACUUAACGCUGUGUGGAACCAUGAAUAAGAAUAUCCUCUAGUAGUUGUAGCUCAUUUCUAUUGAAAUAAAAGCCUGCAUAAUAUUUCAUCUAUAUAUUAUUGCCAUAAUGAUAAAUAUUUGAUUGACAUAAAAUAGGCACGUAAUGUGUGUUUUACGUUAUAUAUUUUUGGGGGAGGGGAGUUCUUUUAUUGUAACACGAUCUAUAAGAAAUGUGUCUAAUUUUAUUUUUCAUUUUUUUUCUUUUUUGGUUUAGAGUCAAUAGAAAUAAUUAGGAUAUUUCCCUUAAUUCUCCAUAUCUCUUAUGGUUGUGCACAUACCUCAGAGAUUAUUCACAUCUCUCUUUGAAAGUGUAUAUCAUUGGAUUGAACCUCCUAACAUAAUAUUAGAGCCAAGUUCCAUCUUAGUUUAUUUCACGUGUGUGUCCCCCUAAUUCAUCAAAUUCCAUAUCUAGCUUGCACAUGGGAGGAAAUGUUAAAAGUAUCACUCAUCACUUGUCUAUGAAUUUACAUACUCUUUAUAUACAUGUAGUCUCCCUUCAUUUAUGUUUAAGUUUUUGGGUUAGACAUUCCAACAGAAGUUUGAGUUACAGAAUUAUUUGCAAGCAACUUGUGCUAAAUUUUUAAGCAGAAAAAAUUGACUGAAAUAAGACUCAAAGGGACCAUAGAUGAAUUCUCGGUUGCCUCUCUUGCUAAAUAUGGGAUAUGUCGCUCGACGUUCUUCGUUAUUGUCGAGAAUAAUGGUGACUGUUAGCCUAGUGGUUGUCCAUCGCAAAAACCGAUUGCCUAAAAAUAAAUUCGCACAUAUUUGUAAAAUUCAUGUACAAAAUUUGUCUAAUGGACCGACCUAAAAGUUUAGAAUUUUAUGGUCGUUGAUCAUCUAGUCCCCAUUAAAUUUAUUUCAAGAUCUAGAUAUAUCAUUUUGCAUUAUUUAAGGCAGCCAGACAAUCAUUUCAAUCACUUCCUCGUGCUUCGUUGCCUUCUACUUGAGCUCAUACUAAUACCGAGGGCUAGAUUGAGAUAUAGAGUCCACGUGACAUUAAUUCUGCAGUACCAAACAGAUAAAGAAAGCGUGUCCCAACAUCAUUUUUGUUAGGACUAGAAGCGUUUCUGGCCAAAAGGAUAAAGGUCUUAAAGCACCCGAUAAUGAAUAAUCUAAGCAAUUUCUCAGAAUAGCAUGCCAUGGACCAAAGCUUAUCGUGCUUGACUUUGUUUGGUUCAAAGUGAUAACACAAGCAUAAAAAGCUGGGUUCAAAGUGGAAACACAAUCAUAAAAAGCUGGUUCAAAGGUGAAACUCAAUCAUAAAAAGCUGAAAACAAUUUAUAUAUAUAUAUACACACACGCGCGACUAAUACCAUUAAAAUUUCCAAGAUGGUACCCUAAUGACACAUUGAACUCAAACUAAUUUUCAUCUCAUUAAAAAUCUCAAAUAGGUAUCCCACGAUCCAUUUACCUUAAAGUAAUUUUCAUCUCACAAAAUAUCUCAAACCGGUAUCCCUGACCUAGAUAUACUCUCUCUCUCUCUCUUUCUAAAGUGCAUAUUGGUUAGCACAUGUGAUAGACAACAUAAGAUGAACUCGAUGUGGAGAAUGCCAAAUCAGAAUUGAUUGAGAACUACAAGACAAUCACAUGAGGAAUAACAUAUUCGAUGUGUAAAAUUUACGUGUUAACACGUAUGCGUUUUAAUAGGAUAUUGGAUAGAAACAGAGUGUAGAUUUGGAUCAAGGGUACCGAUUUGAUAUUUUUCAUUAGAUGGAAAUUAGUUUUAAGUAAAUGCAUCACGGGAUACUCGUUUUUUAUUAUAUAGUAUUCCCUCUCUAUGUUUUAGGAAAAUCGCUACAUCAUAUGAGCUGAUAUUUCACUUAAAUUGUACAUGAGACUUUUGGACUUGAGUGACAAACAAGAUAGCUCAAAGUUAAGAGAACAAUAUAAGGUCUCUAUCUAAUAUACAGUUAAAAGAACUAACAGUACGAAUUUCAAAUCAUAUCGUCGCACUUUAACUUUAAUUGGACAAUAGCUUAAUAGUCAGUUAUCAUAGCACUAGUGGUCUCCUUGGUUAUAGUCAGCAAUAGUAAAGAUUAAUUCUCCACGUGAAUUGGACGGAGCAACAAAGUUUCUUUUUUUCUUUUAAUUCCCUCUUUUAUUGGUCUAAACAUUUAUCUUUUCAAAACUUUCUGUACCCCCAUUUCUUACCAUGGGCUAUACAACUACUUAAUAAGUUUAGGGGAAAAGAAAAUCUAAAAUGUCAAAACUUGACAUAGGAGGGCAUAUAAGUGCCAAAAUCGGAGUAAAAUUGAUCAAUUAAGUGCCAAUGGCGAGAAAGUCUAGGCAAAAUGUUGACGUGGUGAUUUUCCGAUAAGACAAGUGCAAAAUGAUGUCGUUUUGCACACUGAUGUAGCUAGACAAAUGUAAAAAUGAUGUCAUUUUGCUAUUAACGUGAAUAAGUAAUUAAUAUAAAUAUUAAUUAAAUAAAAUUUAAAUUAUUAUUAUUUUUUAAAAAAAAGCAGGAACAUGGAGGUUCUAGGUUGAGCCCUCACCACCUGCAACCUCCAUCUUACUUUUUUUAAAAAAAAUAAAAAAAUAAAAAAAUAAAAAAAUAAUAAUAAUAAAUAAAAAUAAUAAUAAUAAUAAAUAUUUUAAUUUAAUUAAUAUUUAUACUGAAAUUCAUAAAAAGACAAAACGAUGUUGUUUUGACAACUCUUCGGCCUACCGUGUAAGUGAGUUAUAUUAUUAAAAUAUUAUCACAUAAGAUUUCUAAUAACUUUUGUCGGACUUGGUACUCAGGUGUCCUAUUUUUUAUUUUAUUUUAAAAUGACACUUAAAUGUCACUUUCUUAACUUUUAACACUUUAAGUGUUUUUCGUACCAAGUUUUGUCACUUCAGGCGUGUUUUCGAAAGUUUAAUAUUUAAUUGGACAAUAGCUUAAUAGUCAAUUAUCACAGCACUAGUGGUCUCCUUGGUUAUAGUCAGCAAUAGUAAAGAUUAAUUCUCCACGUGAAUUGGAUGGAGCAACAAAGUUUCUUUUUUCUUUUAAUUCCCUCUUUUAUAGGUCUAAAGAUUUAUCUUUUCGAAACUUUUUGUAGCCCCAUUUCUUACCAUGGGCUAUACAACGCUUAGAAAAUUUAGGGGAAGAGAACACCUAAAUGUCAAAACUUGACAUAGAGGGGCAUAUAAGUGCUAAAAGUUACGGAAGUAACACUUAAGUGCCAAAAUCAGAGUAAAAUAAAUCAGUUAAGUGCCAAUGACGAGAAAAUUUGGGCAAAAUGUUGACGUGGCGAUUUUCUGAUAAGGUAAGUGCAAAAUGACGUCGUUUUGCAUAUUGACGUAGCUAGAAAAAUGCAUAAAUGAUGUUGUUUUGCUGUUAACGUGGAUAGAUAAUUAAUAUAAAUACUAGUUAAAUAAAAUUUAAAUAAAAUUAUUUAUUUAUUUAUUUUAAAAAGGAGGAACAUGGAGGUUCCACGUUGAGCCCUCACCGCCUACAACCUUCAUUUUCCUUUUAAAAUAUAUAUAUAUAUAUAUUUUAAUUUAAUUAAUAUUUAUAUUGAAAUUCAUAUCAAGAUAAAACAACUCUUCAGCAUACUAUGUAAGUGAGUUAUAUUAUUAAAAAAUUGUUAUAUGGGAUUUCUAAUAACUUUCGUUGGACUUGGUACUGAAGAGUCUCAUUUUCGUAACUUUUGACAUUUAAGUGUUUUUCGUAUCAAGUUUUGACACUUCAGGUAAAGUUUAAUAUUUAUUUUCUUCUUCUUCUGUUACAUGCAAUAACUCCCCCCCCCGGCGCGGGGAACAAACAAAAAUUAAGCACCGGUUACAAAAAUGAAGAAAUUACCUCAUCUUGGGGUACAUAAAAAGCUAAAGAAAUGAAAUAAUACAAGAUCUUUGCAACAACAAUUUAAGUAAUAUUCUUCACAAGCUUUUACAUCUCUCACAUCCUUAUUACGACAUAAAGCUACUCUGUAUUAAAAUAAUAAUAAAAUAAUAAUAUUGAGUAUAAUUAAUGACAACGAUGAUCCGACCAUGUUGAUAAUAAUUAUAGAAGCAAUUAUAGUUGGCAGAAACAUUAAGAUGUAAUUCAACUUUCACGGAAAAGACCCGUUAAUUUUAGGACAACCGAAAAAAAAAAGAUAGUUAAAAUAGAAAAAAGAGCUUAUAGCAUAUUGUCCAAGCUCUUCCUUCUGUCAUCUAUUCGGUUCCCGCUUCACCUCAUAGGCAUGCACUUUCACAACUCAAUCUUUCGACUGCUCUCACCCACGUCCCAUCUCUUGGUGUCGAACGUGGUGGGAGCUUGACACCAUCUCUAGUGAUCCGCCCCUGACGAAGCUCUGUCCUUCCUUCUCCCCUGACGAAACUCUGUCCUUCCUUCUCCUCGAACUCAAGCUGCUCUCGAGCACAGCGCUGGCCUUGACAGCGAGCAAGCAGAGCUCUCUUAAAGAGAGCGGGACUCGGGACAUGGAAAGAGGCAACAGGAAAUAGAGUUGGCCCAAACAGAGGUCUUCCUCUUCGUGGAUUUGGGGGGCUAUGGAGUCGAUGAACAUGGACUCUGAGCUGCAGAGGAAGCAGUUAGGGUUCUGGGAGAGGAGUUGAGAAGCCUUGAUGGUUUGGGGGAACUCUUGCAGUCUUCCGUCCAUGUGAAUGACCUUGAGCAUGUUUGUAGGAGAUGGUGACCAGUCAUGGUGACGGGUGGUCAUGGCAAGGCCAUCAUUUCUUGUGAUUUGAGGAGAUGCACAGUUGCCCAUUCUCUUGUGAUUUGAGGAGAUGCACAGAGAGAGAGAGAGAGAGAGAGAGAGAGAGAGAGAGAGAGAUUGGUAUAUGUUUGGAGAAUGUGCUUGCUUAGAGUUCGUAUUUAUAGGGGGGAAAUUAGGGCACGUCUGAGAGUUUUGGAUGGACGUGUGACCGACUUUUGUCGACGGCGGAAAUGUGAACAGCAUCAUGUCAUACAUGGACGACGGUCGUGUGUAUUAAUUACACGUGUCCAUAAAUGGGAUUUGUAUAAUGCCUGUGUUAAUCCAUGAUAGCGAUUGGUCGCAUAUUGCAUCUAGGAAAUUUUCUUAAAAGAGUUGCACAACUACUCUUGAACCUCAAAACGUUUCCGAUUGACUCCAACUUUGGCACCGCUGUCCAGUGGCGCCUGAACUUUGGAAAAUUAUAGAUUACCUUGUUGAAUUUUCAUUUUUAUUGGCAAUCGUCAGUUUUUCCAUCUAUUUAGCCAUUAAGUAUUACUUGAAAAUGGCUUGCGCAUUUUCUUCUAUCAAUAUAACCUCUAUUUUAUGGUUAAUGAAGUUGAGAGAAACAUAAAUAAUGCAUAACCGAAGAUGUUAAAUGAAAAUUAUCAGACAUCAUUUUGGUCAAGAAGAUGGGUUAGUGCACUUUGAAGUAAUACUUCAGGUGCGUUUAUUGGACUUUUGGGGAAAGCUUUUGAAAAAAUACAAAGGACUUUAAGUUAAAGGGGUUUUCUAAAAUACAAAUUGUGUUUGUUAAAUUGUAAUAUAAAAGUCUACUGUGAAAUACCUUUGAGUAAAAUAGUGGUUGGAGAGAUAUAUUUACAAAGGACGUUGAUGAUUAAAAAAAAACAAAAGAAAAAUAUUAUCAAAAGAAAAAUAAAAGAGUUGGCUGGUGAGGCAAGUGGUUGCCGGUGGCCUUAGGCAACCCCUGGAGACAACUGGCGAGGGGUGCCUGGGGUUGGGCGACCUUCAGCGAGGGCCACCUAGGGUUAGGUGACCAUCGUUGGCCCUUCAUGGAGGUUGCCCGACCCAAAUCUGGGCCCGUCGAAGGUUGUGCAACCUUGCAGGGACUAGAUUUGGGUCGCCAGAGGUCACGUCAUUCGCCUAAGGUCGUGUGACCUCCGGCAACCCAAAUUUGGUCCACCGGAGGUUGUGUGACCUCGCGGUGACUAGCAACAUAGAUCUGGUCGCCGCAAGGUUAUGCGACCUCCAACGACCCAGAUCUGGGUUGUGCGAGUUGUGCUUGAGGUCGUGUAGGUCGCGCCUAGUUCGCGGUGACGCAGGUCGUGGUGACGCAACUUGUCAGGGCCGCGCGACUGGCCGAUGAUCGUCGUCACAACCUCAUCGGCCUCAACCGUGACCUCGCCAGCCUCUCUCGAGCUCCUCGCUAACUAGCCACACACCACCGGAGAAGAAGAUGAACAAUAGACAUUGGGCUUUCAGCAUUUGCAAGGCAAACUUUGCCUCAAGGUGGGUUUCGAAAAUGAAACCAAACAUCCAAUAUUUGGCUUAAAGAUCCUUCCCAAAGCCAAUUCCGAACGCAGCCUUAAUGUUUAUCCAAAAAGAAAGCGCAAUGACUACAACAAAAAUAGAUGUUCAAGGAAGUAAAGUGCAACUACCCAAAUUUUGUGGAGAGUACCCAAAAAGUUAUUAACUUAUAAUAUUUAUGCCAAUUCAAUUUCAAACUUUUCAAUUUGAUCAAUUUAGUUUUAAAUCUUUUGCAUUUAUACCAAUUGAGUCUAUCUAGACUACUUUGAUAGGAAAUCGCUCACACGAACACUAAAGAUGCGUUUGGUAAUGUUUCUAUUCCAAUGAACAAUUUUUUUAAUAAAAAUAGUUUUUUUUAUUUGGGUUAAUACCCUAAAAAAUCAUAAACUGGUACACUUGUGACAAAUUUACCAAAAACUAUUUUUUUAACCACAAAAAAUCCUAAACUGGUAUAUCUUUGACAAAUUUACCCCAAACUGAUACAUUUGUGACAAAUUUACCCUAUGUUAGUUUUCGUUAAAUUUUAAUUAAGUUAAAUGACACGUGACAGUUGACUAGUAUACUAAUUUGAGAUUUUACACAUUGUUUGUCACAGUUUACAAUUUUUGUGAUUUUUUUGUGGUAUUAAUCCAAUUUAGCGGAGGGUAUAAUUGUCACAAAUUUACCAGUUUGGGGGGUUUUUUGUGGUCAAAUGAAUUAGUUUUGAGUAAAUUUAUCAUAAAUGUACAAGUUUAGGGUUUUUUUAUUAUCAGUCUGGGUAAAUUUGUCACAAGUGUACCUGUUUGGAGUUUUUUAUGGUAAAAAAAAUAAUUUUGGGUAAAUUUGUCAUAGAUGUACCAGUUUGGAGUUUUUCAAUGUAUUGACCCUUUUUAUUUCUAUUCCCGAAAACAAUUUCUGAGUAUAAGAACGCGCUUGAUAUCUACAAAAAAUUUCUACUCCAGGAAUAGACAUGCAUUUGGUAAAUUUGUAUAAUUUUGUUGUUUCUUUUAGUUUUUCAAUAUUUUUUAUUAUAUUUUUCCUUUUUUUAUUCUUUCUUUAUUCUUAUUCUUUUUUUUUCCUUCUUUCUCUUUGUGGCCAGUCACUGGCCAUGGCGACAGCCAACGACCGGCUGGGUGAGCUCGCCAGAGCCUUGCCAGGCCACCGCGAAGCUCAGCCUCCCCAGAUUUGGGUGAGGCCAAGCCUCGCUAGUGGCCUCGGUGGCCAAGCAAGCCUCGCGUCAACCGACGCGGCUUGGCCUUGCCAAGCCAGGGCGAGGCCGACCUUGCACUACCUGGGCGAGGUCAAGCCUUGCUGGUGGCCUCAUGAGGCCCGCUUGGCCACCGAGGCCACCAGCGAGGCUCCACCUUGCCCAGGCUGCGCGAGGUCAGUGUUGCCCUGGCCUGGCAGGGCUCAGCCUGAUGAGCCUUGCCGUGGCUUGGCAUAUGCGGGGGAUGGCGACGCUCCAGUGAGGUUGCUGGCCCUCGUUUGGUUGGUUGCCGACACUGGCCAUAGCCAAGGCUGGUGAUCGGCAAAAGGAAGAAGAAAAGAAGAAAAAAAGAGAAGAGAAAAAAAUUGUUUCUCGAAAUUGUUACCGGAAUAAAAAUAAAAAAAAAAAAUUCUACUUCUUGUUUCUAUUCCCAGGAACAAAAAAAAAUAGAUUUUUUGUUCCCGAGAACAAAAGUUUUACCAAACACGUUUUUGUUAUUUUUUUUAUUCUUAGGAACAAAAGAACAUAAAUUUUGGUUCCGAGAAAUAGAAACAAAAAUAAACAAACAUGGCCUAAUCAGUUUACAUGGCAAGCCUAGCACUGAUGUGAGCAUUUUUAAAAAUAUUUAAAUAUUUAAUAUUUUUAUUUUAUUCUUUUAUAUUAUUUAUUAUUAUUUUUUCUUCCUUUCACUGGCCGUUGGCAAGAGGUCAUUGUUGAUGGGGUUGCAAAGGCCCUUGCCAACCAAACCGAAAGGAAAAAAAGGAUAAAAAAUAAAAAAUUCAUUUUUUUAAAAAUUAUAAAAGAUGUCUCUAUCAGUGUCGGCCAUGCCAUAUGAGAUGACCGAUAUUCAUAUCAAAGAUUUUUAGUCAGAAUUAAUUGAAUGAACUGAAUUGGUAUAAAUACAAUAGAUUUAUGACUAAAUUAGUUAAAUUGAAAUGUUUAUGAUUGAAUUGUCACAAAUAUAAUAGGUUUAUAACUUUCUUGUUACUUUCUCCUUAUUUCUUACGGUGUUUCCCUCACUGAUGUCCACUUCAGAGCAAAUUGAGUCAGUCGCCAGUGUCGUGUGAAUGAGGAAGGAGAGAAGACGCCGCAGCUCAAAAGGAAUUUGUCGCCACUUGGCUCAUGGUAUUCACGGGUCGCCGAGUCGCGGACUCGGUUUUGGUUUCGUUCAAGGAAAGCCGCUGAAAUCCCAUGAUCACUCGGAAACUGAUUGGACAAACCGAAACAAGAUGAUAAAGUUGGAGAAUAGAGAGACGGCACUACCUUCGCAGCCUUUUCUAAUGGUGCUUCUUACUUCCUUCUCUAGUGGUCCCCGGGGACCGAAAAUUAUGAAAUUUCGUUUUGCUUUUUCGACCGAUCCGCCCUUGCCCCCGUGAAAUUCGGUCUAAGCAUCAAUUCACCUUUAGAACAAAUGAACUCAGCAGCCCCCGGGAGCGGUCGGCAACCAAUCAGCGGCCGCCACCACGCAUCGCAUUCAACGCUAGACCGCAAGGGCAUUACCGGACCGGUGCACCCACGCAUGACCUUCGCUCAUGGCUGCGGCGGUCCCCAGCUCGUCUCGCGUUUGCUGGGCUUCUGAAGCCUGGUUUGGCAUGCAUCCGACCUUGUCUAGUAUUUUUGAGCCCUUUCACUACGUUUGCCUUAUGCUGUGCAUCAGCUUCCCUGAUGGGAUAUGUCAUGCCCAUUGGUUUCCAAAAUUUCACUAAAAAUAAUUCUUCAUCUGUUCAAUUCAAGGACAUUAACUCAUUCCAGAACUCUCUCUUUCAAUUACAUUUUCUCAAAUUCAUGGUGCCAAUCAUCUUAACCUUAUCUUGUCAUCAUGUGAAUUUUUUUCGAUCCGUAUCUUCCUGAGAUUGCCAAGAUCUUUGAAAUUGAGCCUCAACACUUCAACGACAAAGAAAGGAUGGCCCAAAGAUAAAAUGUUAUUUUCUUAGAGUUGCAUGAUCAUUUGGCAUCAACAAACCAAUCAAUCACAUCAACAAAAUGCCUGCAGCCCUCUCUCUCCCAAAAAAACCCUCCGUCAAAAAAAUUGCAUCCACAACCUCUUAGCUUUAAUUUCUGAAGCUCAGGGCCUACUAUGAACUACAAUUCUCUUUUAGGCCUUGAUUUUUUUUUCCACUUCCAAUCUAAUUUAGGACUCUUUUCGAUUUGUUUGGCAUCUUCUAUUGCUCAUUGUAGUUGUUUUUCUUUUUCACUCAUAAAGAUUAAUAAAUUUGGUUGCAAUUGAAAUUUUUUGUAAUAACGUCAUGACCGGUUCAACCAGCAGAAUGCUAGGGAUAUGGUUCUAUAACUUUUCCAAAAUUCAGUGGAAGCUUUUUUUAUCAAUUAGGUGUAGAUCUAAUACUAUGAGCUUUUGUCUUUGAUAUAAAUUUAAAUGUAAGAGUUUCUUGAGGCAUUCGAUCUAUGGUGCUUUAACAUGUUAUUGUCAUCGUCUCUGUAUGGCGAUGGUGUUGAAGACACCGAACCUAGGGCGCCCUGCAAGCUAUAGUUUAUGGAGGGAAAGAUCUCAAUUGUGCCCACUGCUGAUGGUUUGGUAAUUGGCCGUUGAUUUUUUUUAUUUUUUUUUUUGUCACAAACCUGGUCUUUUGGGAUGAAAGUGUGUUUAUAACUAUAAGCUGUCUCUUUUGUUUUUUCUGAGUUUUAUUUUAUUUUGUGGCUCUUUUGAGAUUUACUUUACUUGGAAGCUUUUUAUAUUCCUCUCUUGUUUGAUUAUGAAAAUGAAUGAAAUUUUCUUUCGAUAAAGAAGAAGAAGAAGGGGAGAUAUGGAUUGCACAGCAAGUUGGAAAGCAAGCAGAAUUUACCCAAUCUUCUGGUUAUGAGUAUGACAAAAAAGAUAUUUUGAAUUUUGGAAAAAUUAUUAAAAUUAUAUAUGGUAUACAUUAGGGGUAUGCAACCAAUCCAGUUCUACCCUAUAAUUGGACUGAACCACCCAUAAAAAUAUGUUCAUUUUUUUAUUCCAAAUUUUUGGAAUUGGUAUUAGGUGUUGAACAUACCACCCAUCCACUUGGGAAUUGGUUUGAACCUAUUUUUUGAAGUUAGAAGAAGUUGAUAUAUUAUUCUUAAAGGAGCUUAACUUCCCUGUUACUUUAUAUUUCUAUUUUUUUUAUAUUGAUAUUUUUCUUUGAACUUUUUUAUAGCUCUUACAAUUUUGCUAUAACUACUAUUUGUCUUCUUCUUCUUUUCAAAUGAGGCAAAAAAAAAAAAAAAACAGUUCUCGAUUAGCAUCUAGAAUCAGACCAAACCAACAUGGUAAAUUCCCAGGUAAGUUCUAGAACAAACAAAAUAGGUUAUGUGUUCCAAAAAAUGGAAAUCGAUUCUAACAAAGUAUGCUUCAAGUUUCACAUCCGAAAUCUUUCCAUCUUAAAACCAAUUACUCUUAUAUGUGAUUUUAAAUGUUUUUUUUUUUUUGCUAAGAUGAAUUCAUGAUAUGUGAGAGGCAAAACUCACAAAAGGUAAUGACGCGGAAAAAAUAACUCACCCACUAACCCCAAAAAGACCGAAUAAAAAAUAUCAUAAUUAAGGUUGAUUUCAAAUCACUUGAGUGUACACUAGUGAUGGUGCAUAUAUGUCUAGUUCCUUGGAAGCGAGACAAUUUGGGAAAAUUAUUCAAUCAGUUAUAAACUUUUCAAUUUUGUCAAUUUAGUACUAAUCCUCUGCACAAAUUAAUAUUUCCAAUUGAUUUUCGUAGAAAAUCCACUGUGUUAUGUAGGAUGGCUGGUAAUGACUGUAUUGCUACUUCAUGGAUUUCUAAUCAAAAUGGACUAGAAUGACACUAAAAUCUUGGGCAAAGAUUUACAACUAAAUUAGCAAAAUUGAGAAGUCCAUCAUUGAAUUGACAUAUGUACAAUAGUUAAGGACUGAUUAAGUAAUUUUCCUGAGACAACUUAAACCUUCCCUUCUAGCAUGCAUUGGGCCUCUAUACCCAUUUCACCUCUGUCCCGGGAGUUAGUCUCAGUAAUUCUCUUGGAUUUGUUUUAAAAUCAUCACAUUAUAUAAAAAAAAAAAAAUGCCUAAAACAAGUUUUUUUUUAACAGGUGUUGUCACGACAUUUAUUGAGCAACAAAAUAUAUAAAGCUUGUAGUUCUCAAUACACAGGUAUGUUAUGUUUAGUAAAUGUUUUAAAAAAUUCAAAAUAUUCUUAUGUUAAGUCUGUUUAAUAAAUGCGUUAAGAGCACUAGGUUACCAAACGUUUGACCCAAAAAAAAAAAAAACACUUUCCAACAGGAUGAUUUGGUUAAACACAAAAGAGAAACAUAGUGCAGUUAAUUAUAGUAAUUUCAAAUUAAGUUGUCGAACAUCAAGCGCAAGAAUCGGGGCCUUAGGCAUGAUCUCAAUCAAUCCAAGCACUAGUGUUGAGGACCCGAGAACGAGCAUUAGAAUUUCCAUGUCCAAGAACAGAAUUUUUAAUCUAAGUGUAGAUAUUUGGUUAUUUAUUGAAAAAUGAUUUUCGAUUUUUUAAAGAGGACAUCAUUUUUCUGAAUUUAAACAUGAAUUUUGCUUUGAUUAGGAAAACAUUGUUCGUUGACUCAUUUUUCUAAACAAUUAAAACACAAAAAAAAAUGAGGGAAAUAUUUUCCACGAAAUAAAUAGAAGCUAAUAUCUGCUCUAAAUUAUUCAGCCAUAACAGAAUAUUACUGGUAUAAGUAAAUAGAAUUAUUUUGAUGUACCUCAAUUUUUCAUUAAUAGUUGGAUCUGUAAUCCUAAGACAAGCUCUACUACAUGUGGCUUAUUCGAUUAUGCUAAAAAAAAAAAAAUAGAUAUUGAAAAUCUAAGCGUGUGAAGGAUGACAAGGUUAGCAAAAUAAAAUGUAUUUUUAUAAUAGAUGCAAAUUAAAUAAUAAUUUUUUUAGUUUCUUACCAAACAUGAAAAGUGAGCAUUAUUAGAAGGUUUGGACGAUACUUUUCAUAAAAUUUUCAAUAUUUAUACUUUCAUUCAUCCUUUGGCUUAGAUACUCACUUUUCUGGUGUCUUGAUUAUGCUAUCCCUUGUGGGACCCACCACUUAUAGUAUAACUUUACAAAAGUGAUCUUCUUUUUUUUUAAUUAUUUGGUCAUCGUUUUUAUUUUGUUCCUUUUUUUUUUUUUUGCAGGUCCCACUUUCCUUCUUCUUCUUUCUUUCCAUGCCUUUGGCUUCUCAAUUCUCUAUUCUUGCAAAUCGUCUAUGUGUUUUGUCUGUUGCAAGCCAUUAUGUUCUUUCUAUGCCUCCCACUCCUCCUUCUUCUUCCACAAAUUCCUCUUGCAUCUAUAAUAUCCAAAAGAACAACUUACUUCAACACUCAAACAUAACAUUGAAAACCGCAAUCAAAUUAAACCAUUAAUUCGAAUCCCAUUUCAUAUUACCUAAAAGAACACAACUCGCCUAUUACCCUCUACUUUUAUGCCUACACAUGGUGGAGACGCCUUUUCUUUCUUUAAACACUCACAAGUGCAAGAAAUUGAAAGAAAUAUAGAAAAAAAAAAAGGAAGAGAGAGAGAAGCAAUGCUUCUUAGUAUUAUCUUCCAUGGUGCAAGAAGAGCCUGUGUGUGGUGGAGAAAAAGGGCUCGUUGGGGUGGUUACCAGUGAGCCCAAUGUUAGUGCUAGUGAAAGUGUGGAGGAUGAUAGGGUUGGCAUCAUAAAUAGAAAACAAAGGACGACAGGUUUGUGGAAGGAUGAUGAGGAGGAGGACUGAGAGGCAUAGGAAGAAGAGAAUGACCUACGAGAGAAAAGAGAGAGAAGAUUUGCAAAAGCGAAGACUAAUACAUCAAAAGCAUGCAAAAAAAAAAAACAAAAAAGGAAGAAGAAGGAAAGUGGGAUCUGCAAGGAAGCAAGAAAUAAAAUAAAAAGCAUUGACCAAAUAAAAAAAAUCACUUUUAUAGAUUUGUACUAGAAAUGCUGGGCUCCUCAAGAGACAUUUGGUAAAUAAAUUAAAAAAAUUAAAGGGAGAGUAUAAGCUAAAGGAAGAGUGGAAAAUGCACAGCCCUUUAAAUAUACCCUUCCUAACUUAUCCCAUCAAGGGGUUUUAAAUUUAUACCAACCAAUUAAGUUGUGUGUAUUUAAAGAUUAUUGAGCUCAGUUGAUGACAUAGUGCUGAAAAGUUUGCUGUUCGUUACUUAAUGUUGUUUUCAAAUACCCCCUUAAUAUGCUACAACCCUAUCAAGCUACUGUCGCUUGCAUCGCGAAAUAAUGGAUAACUACAUAUCUCGACCUGAGAACGCUAUAAGCAAUGGCAGAGGAGAGAAGGGAAGAAGACUCUCAAGAAACAUCGGUAAUCUCUGCUAUAAUGAAAGCAAUCUUAUUUCCAUUUUCAAGCUCAAACUUCUUCUUUUUCCAAAAAAAAAGUUUGUCAAAAUUGGUGAUCACUACUAUAUAAAAAGUUAUCUUAUAUUAAUCAUCAUAUUAUCACUACGAUUCGGUUUUUGGCUAAGGAAAUUCGAUUGAUAUGAGAAAAUUUACAUCAUGUAAAGCAACUUAGCAUAGCAUGCCAUGGACCCAAGUCUAUCACGCUUGACUUUAUUCCUUUCAAAGUGAAAAAAAAAAUUAGAAGAAGAAAAAAACUCAAAAAACAAUUGAUAAGCUAAGUUUUUUUCUUAGCAUAUCAUUGAAAUGAUAUUUCUCUUAAAUUCUACCUUAGACUUUUGGACUCGUGCAAAUACAUAUAUAGUGAGAUGACGCUACACAUGAAAUUUGACAAACGAGGAGCCUUUACAUGCGAAAUAAAUUAUAUGUAAAGAGUUUAUAAACCUUAUAAAUAAGUUAAACGACUUAAAUAAUAGCUAUACAUAUAGAAAAGUGGAACUAAAUGGCAAACGGUCAUUACUGCGAUGUAGACAUCAUACUUAUAAAGGUAUAAUGAAAACAUUUGAGUUAAAUGAAAGGAAGGCAGAUUUUCCUUUAAUAUUAUAGAUGGAAGAUAGAAUUAAGGAUAAUGUACAGUGAAAACUUCUUUUUCAAAACUUCCAACUUACUAAUUUGUACACUUGUUCAUGACUUAUGAAAUGACAAACGAUAGAGCUCAAUGGUCAAAAGUGAAGGAAACAACAUAGCUCUCUAUCUAAUAUCAUCCACAAGUAGGCCAAUUAAAUUAGCUUUUCUUGAACAUCUACAUUUUUUAUUUUACAAAAUAUAGUUAAAUAGCUAUUAAUUGUGUGAUUUCAGAAUUGUGGUUAUACGUCUCCCAAUAAGCUACAAUUGAUUUUAUCAAGCAUUAAAUUAAGGGGAAAAAAAUUCAACGACCGUCAUCGUAAUAAAAAAGAAGGUGAUUAACAGGUUAACAUAUGAUGAGUAACUUUAGCAAUUGUUGUUGUAAGUCUAAAUUUGAGAUCUAUUUAGUACGAUUGUCUAAUCAUGCCGUCACACUUUAGACUUAAUUAGAUAAUAAUUUAACAAUCGAUUAUCACAGCACUAGUGGUCUCCUAGGUUCUAAUUAGCUAUAGUAAACGUUAAUUCUCCACAUGCAUCGAGUUGAGAAUAGAAGUACUUAUUUUUUAAUUUCCUCUUUUCUCGGCCAAAUCAUCCACUGCUCCUAACCUCUUUGUAACCCCAUUCUUUAUCAUGGGCCACCACUUUGCUUGGGAGAGUUGAUCAUAGUUUGACAUUCCUCUCAUUGGUUUGUUGUUCGCACCUUUGGCGGUCACGUGAUUUUACAACGGAUGGAGAGGAUGUGUCAAUGCAUGAACUCUCUUAGGAGUUCUAAAAAAAAGGGAGAGCUACAGUGUUACCCUUCGUUGCUUUGUGAAUGAUUAACUAGACCUCAGGGCCUAAAGUAUGAAGAAGAUAUGAAGUCAUGCACUUUUGGCUUUAUCUUUUGGCUUUCUUCGGUCAAGUAUUCUCACAUUUUUGCAUAAGCAAGAGAAGCAAAAUUAUUUAGUAGUUUUUUUUUUUUUUUUACAUGGCAACCUUGUUGCCAUUUUUGGGGAUUGAAUCUCGGUCGUUCUUGGAUUGCUUCAUACCCCAUACCACUAGGCCGAGGUGGUGGUAGUGUUCAUGGGGCACUUCUCUCUUUAUUAAAUUGAACUGGCUCUCAGAUGACACGUCUCUUUCACACUAAGUUAGAUGAAUUUGAUAUGAGUUACUUUCAUGUGCUUGUUUGGCCAGUAUUGAUUUACUCAUUAAAUUAUUGAGUUUGUUCCUUGAAUCCCAAUACUUCUUGUCAAACGGGGAAACUAUGUCAAAAGCAAAAUUAGAGGGAAGAAUAUUAUAAAUGAUACCAAAUUACCUUUCUCUAGAGUUUAUAUUUGACGACUUCUUAGAAUGUUUUGAAUGUUGGUGACAGCCAUUUUGUCUUGUCACAAUUCGGCAUCUCUUUUGAUUGGCAAUUCUCAUUCGUGGCUAUGUAUGCACGACAGAUGAUUAUUGAUCCAUCUUCAAUGCCUUCUUUUUGCAAAUUUUUUUUCUCUUGCCUUUGAUUAUAUGAACAUCAGUAGCAUUGAGCAAAGUCAUGUAUCUCAAGCUUCCAUAGAAUUUGAGAUGGAUAGUGAAAAUCCCCAUUUUUUUUUUAUGGCAAUCACUUCUCGGUAGAAUAUGUGUCUAGAACAAGAAGGAAACAUUUAAACAUGACAAAAAGCCUAAGUCCAUAAAAAAAAAAACAAACAAGGCUAGGCCUAUUUUCGACUAAAAGAAAUGCCCAGCCCCAUAAAACUAAACCGAAACCCAAGCCCGGAAAGCGCCCCACGCGCGAGUUGGACAGCCACGAAGCUCCGGCGCAGCAAGGUCGAAACAGGGCGUAACACAAAGCCCUGGCUUACCGGUGCUUGGGGUAGGGGGAAGCGAGCGCGGCGGCAGAGCCGCAGAUCUCUCUAAUUUCUCUCUCUUUCAGCCUCGGUUUCUCUCUCUAGAGCCCCAGUCUCUCUCUCUCUCUCUCUCUCUCUCUCCGGCCUUGGUGCGGCCGAACCGGCGUCCCCUCAGCCGCCCGCCUGCUCUGCUUUGAAGGCGCGUCCCAUCCGUUGCCGGCCCACUCCGCUCUUUCUCCGCCGUACGCUGUCCUCUCGCGCGUCGUCGUCGUCGUCGUCGUCGCCGUGCGUGAGUUGCAGAGGCGGAGAGGGAAGGAGGAAAGAAGGAAGGAGAAAGAAGGAAGGAGAAAGAAGGAGGGGGCCGGGCCUAAGGAGAGAAUACGUGGAGUGGGCCGGGGCCCAUGCGUGGGAAAGAAAGAGAAAAAGGGGGGCUGGGGCGAAAGCCCAGCCCCAGCCCCGCAAUUUGUUUUUUUUUUUUUUUUUUUAACUUUUCUAUUUAUCCGAAAUGCAGUAAAAUAAGGGGAAAAUAAAAAUAAAAAUAAAAAUUAGUAGGUGCAAAUGAUAUUAAUACCUAGGUGAUGUGAAAAUUAUUUUUUGUUAGGAAAAAAUAGGUUUAUGAUUUUUUUAUGUAAUUUUAUCUUAAAUAUUUAGUCAAAAUUUAGGUGUUGACAUGAAGACUCUCGAUCUGGGCAUAGUCAACAUGAAGUUUUUGCUUUCUUUAAAAAGAAAGGCCAUAUAUUGUAGGUACGACUACGAUUAUUGGUAGUAAUCUCUCUCUAAGAAAUUCUUUAAUUCGAUUUCUUUUCCUAAUAACCCGUUUACAAACUCAAGGGAACUUGUCCAAUCAAUUGUAUAAAUUCCAAUUAAAUCCUAAAUUUUUCAAUUUAAUCCUCAAUCUUUGUGCAAAAUUCUAAGGUAGUCUUUUUGGCUAAUAUUCGCCAAAAAUCAUUAACAUGGUGGUGAGUCAUGUAAGAGGGCCACCGAUGACUACAUCGCUGCAUUACUAAUUUCCGAUGAAAUAUAGCCGAAAUGAUUAUAUUGAAAUUUCAUAAAAAAUUUAGAAUUAAAUUAGUAAACUUGAAAAUUUUAUAAUUAAAUUGACAUCUGUGCAGUAUAUUUUCGAUUUUCUUUUUUAAUGUUCUUUACAUAGGGAUUGUUGUAAAAAAUUUAGAAGCAAUUUUCCACUCUUUCAUUGAUUUGAUAUUUUGAACAACUAGUUUCUUUUUCAAGAAUAUUUGAUACAAUAAGACAACACACUGAAAUUCUGCAGUACGCAAGAGAUAUAAGCAUUACCCAAUUCUAUGUAAUUUUAGUAGUAUUCUUAUAUAUUAUAUUAUUUUUUUGGAGACUUUAUACAAGUUAAAUAUUAUCUCAAACAUGUCAUGAGUAGUGGACCACUCACGAUUCGCUAGUUGAAAAGACCUGCAUAUAUUAUUUAAUGAGAUAAGGCAUUUGGAUCUUGCUGCAUUAUUUACUAAAUAAUCAAUGUGUUCUAUACUAAUCGACCAUUCCAACCAUGAUGAUUACCAUAGGUAAGCUUUAAUUGGCCUAUUCAAUUGUGAAAUUAACUUAGCACAGGGUGGAACCAUGAAUAAGAAUUGCCUCCAAUAGUUGUAGCUCAAUUCUGCUGAAAUAAAAUUCUGCAUAAUAUUUCAUCUCUAUAUUAUUGUCAUAAUAAUAAAAAUUUGAUUGACAUUAAAUAGGCACGUAAUGUGUGUUUUACGUUUUCUUUUUUGGGCGAGGUGCGUUCUUUUAUAGUAACAUUAUCUAUAAGAGAUGUGUCUAAUUUUUUUCUUUUUUCUUUUUUAGUUUUAAGUUGACAGAAAUAAUUAGGAUUUCCUUUUCGAUUCUUCACAUCUCUUGUGAUUGUGCACAUACCUCGGUGAUUAUCCAUAUCUCUUUGAUCGUGCUUAUUGUUAGAUUGAAUGUCAAAAGUAUCACGCAUUGCUUAUUUACGGGAUUUAUAUGCUCUUGAUAUGCAUGUGGUCUAUAUUCACUUAUUAAUUUAAACUUUUGGGUUGGAAACUCUAAUAAAAGUGUGAAUUACAAGAUUCUUUGCAAAUAACCCAAGCACCUUUUUUAAGCAGAAAAAAAAUGACUGAAAUAAGACAUAAAAGGACCAUAGUAAAACUCUCGGCUGCCUCUCUUGCUAAAUACGGGAUGUGUCCCUCAACAUUCUUCACUAUUGUCAAGAAUAACCAUAACCGUUGGCCUAGUGGUAGUCCAUGGCAAAACCCAAUUAUCUUAAAAUAAAAUUCACAUUUCUUUGUAAAAUUCAUGUGCAAAAUGUGUCUAAUGAACCGACAAGUUUAAAAUUUUAUGGCCGGCAAUCUUUUAGUCCCCAUUAAAUUUAUAUUAAGAUCUAGUUAUGUCAUUUCGCAUUAUUUAAUGCAGCCACCCAAUGAGUUCAAUCACUUUCUCGUGCUCUCGUUGCCUUCUACUUGAGCUUAUACUAAUACCAAAUGCUAGAUUUAUAUAAAAAGUCUACAUGACAUUAAAUCUAGAGCGCCAAACUGAUAAAGAAAGCGUGUACCGACAACGUUUUUGUUAGGUCUAGAAGCAUUUCCGACCAAAAAGGGAAAACUCUAAAAGCACCCGACAAGGAAUAUCCUAAGCAAUUUCUCAGCAUAGCAUGCCUUGGACCAAAGCUUAUCGUGCUUGACUUUGUUUCGUUAAAAGUGAAAAAACAGUCAUAAAAAGCUGAAAAACAAUUGAUAUAUAUGUUUGGACUAAUACUCUUAAUAUUUCAAACAAGUACCCUAACGACACAUUGAACUCAAGCUAAUUUUCGUUUCACUAAAAAUCUCAAAUAAGUAUGUCAUGAUCCAUUUAACUUAAAUUAUUAUUAUUAUUUUUUUAUGCCGAGAAUCCGGCCUUAAAUCACGAAACUGCUCUGGGAGUUAUGGCGGACUCUGGGAGUCGAACCCUUGACCUGUCGGUCAGGAGGUUAGGCCUCAACUAGCGCAACCAUGCAUGGGUGGGUUACCUUAAAUUAAUUUUAAUCUCACAAAAAAUCUCAAAUUAGUAUCCCUAACCCAAAUAUACUCUCCCUCCUUCUCUCUCUCUCCCUCUCUCUCAAGUGCGUAUUGGUUAGCACACGUGAUAGGCAAACAAAAUGAACUUGAAAUGGAGAAUGCCAAAUCUGAAUUGAUUGACAACUGCAAGUGUUCACGUAAAGAAUAACAUAUUCAACAUGGAAAUUUCAAAUAUAUUGACACGUGUACAUUUUAAUAGGAUAUUGGACGAAAAUAGAUGGUAGAUUUGGGUCAAGGGUACUGGUUUGAUAUUUUUCAUUAGAUGAAGAUUAAUUUAGAGUAAAUAUGUCACGGGGUGCUAGUUUGUGAUUUUCAAUGCUAAUACCUCUAUAUGUUUUAGGAAAAUGGUCACAUUAUAUGAGGUGAUAUUUCACUUAAAUUGUACAUGAGACUCUUGGACUCAAGUGACAAACAAGAUAGCUCAACAUUAAGAGAACGACAUAGCUAUCCAUCUAUAUUUUCUGCAAGUAGGUUAAUGAAAUAACUCUUCUUGAAUGUAUAUAGUUUUUACUGUAAAAAAAAUGCAGUUAAAUAGCUAAUAUUUCAAUGCUAAUACCUCUAUAUGUUUUAGGAAAAUGGUCACAUUAUAUGAGGUGAUAUUUCACUUAAAUUGUACAUGAGACUCUUGGACUCAAGUGACAAACAAGAUAGCUCAACAUUAAGAGAACGACAUAGCUAUCCAUCUAUAUUUUCUGCAAGUGGGUUAAUGAAAUAACUCUUCUUGAAUGUAUAUAGUUUUUACUGUAAAAAAAUGCAGUUAAAUGGCUAAUAUUACGAUUGUCAAAUCAUAUCGUCGCACUUCAAACUUAAUUGGACAAGAGUUUAAUAGUUAAUUAUCAUAGCACUAGUGUUCUCCUAGGUUAUAGUUAGCUAAAGUAAAAGUUAAUUCUCCACAUGAAUUGGAGGUGACCACCAGAGUCUUUUAUUUUUUGGUGCUUCCCCCUUUUAUGUGUCCAAUUAUUUAUCUUUUCGAACCUUUUUGUAACCCUAUUCCUUAUCAUGGGCUAUAUAGCAUAGAAAAUUCAGUACCCUUUUUGACCUUUUGUUAAAUGCGAUAACUUUUUCCCCGCUGUUCAAACAAAAAUUAAGCACGGCAUAUAAAAGUGAAGAUGUUACGUCGUCCUAGGUUACAUAAAAAGCUCAAGAAAUGGACUAUCCUGAGAUCUUUGCAAAACCAAUUAAGUACAAUUCUUCACACGCUUUUACAUUUUUCAUGAGUCAAGACCGCAUUACGACAUAAAUUUAUUUUGUUUUGAAAUAAUGAUAUUAGCAUAAUCAUGACGAUUGUGACAUAAUAACAAAGACGAGCAUGAUGACCGCCAUGAUGGCAAUAAUAGAAGCAAUUGUAGUUGGGGACGUAAUUCAAGUUUCACUAAAUAGACUUGUUAAUUUUAGGACAACUCGAAAGAAGCUGUUCAAAGAAAAAAAUAAAAUAAAAUAAAAGAAACAAGACAACAGAGCUUAUGGCAUAUUCUCCAAGCUCUUCCUUCUGUCAACUGUUCGGUUCCCCCUUCCUCUCAUAGGCAAGCUCUUCAAUCUUUCGACUUCUCUCACCCAAGGCCAAUCUCGUGGCGUCGAACCCGGUUGGAGCUCGACACCAUCUCCAGUGACCUGCCCCCGACAAAGCUGCAUCCUUCCUCCUCCUCAAACUCGAGCUGCUAUUGAGCGCCGUGCUAGCCUUGACGGCUAGAAUGCAGAGCUCUCGCAAAGAGAGCGGGACUUGGGACAUGGAGAGAGGCAAGAGGAAAUAGAGUUGGCCCAAGCAGAGGUCUUCUUCUUCGUGGAUUUUGGGGACUAUGGAGUCGAUGAACAUGGACUCUGAGUUGCAGAGGAAGCAGUUAGGGUCCUGGGAGAGGAGGUGAGAAGCCUUGAUGGUUUGAGUGAACUCUUGCAGUCUUCCGUCCAUGUGAAAAACCUUGACCGUGGACGGAGGAGAUGAUGACCAGUUAUGGUGACGGGUGGUCAUGGCUAGGCCACCAUUUCUCGUGAUUUGAGGAGCUACACAGUUGCCCAUUUUGAGAGAGAGAGAGAGAGAGAGAGAGAGAGAUUGGUGUAUGUUUGGAGAAUCUGCAUGCUUAGGGUUCAUAUUUAAGGGGGGAAUUUGGCGCGUUUGAGAGUUUUGGUUGGACUUGUGAUCAACUUUUGACCGUCGACGCCAGAAAUGCGAGCAGCAACAUGUUAUACGUGGACGACGGAAGUGUGUAUUAAUUACACAUGUCCAUAAAUGAGAUUUGCAUAAUGCCUGUGUUAAUCCACGGUAGUGAUUGGUCGCAUAUUGCUCAAUUCCCACAUUGGGCCCAUUAAUCUAGGAAUUUGUCUUAAAAAAGUUGCCUGUUGCUUUAUUGGAAUGACACUAAUUAUAGUAUGCUUAAAAUUCUCCCCCGACUUUGCAAUUGUUGCACAAAAACUAUUGAACCUUAAAAUGUCAUCGAUUAACACCUCCAACUUUGGCACCGUUGCCCAAUGGCCCCUAAACUUUGGAAAAUUAUAGAUUACCUUCUUGAAUUUUUAUUUUUAUUGGCAAUCGUCAGUUUUCCAUCUGUUUAGCCGUUAAAUGUUACCUGAAAAUGGUUUGCUCAUCUUCUUCUAUCAAUAUAACCUCUAUUUCAUGGUUAAUGAAGUUGAGAGAAAUAGAAAGAAUGUAUAACUGAAGAUGUCAAAUGAAAAUUAUCAGACAUCAUUUUGGUCAAGAAGAUGGGUUCGUCCACUUUAAAGUAAUACUUAAUGUUUAUCCAAAAGGAAAGCGCAAUGACUACAACAAAAGCCGAUGUUCAAGGAAGUAACGUGCAACUAUUCAUAUUUCGGGGAGAGUAAUGAAAAAGUUAUUAACCGAAUAUAUUGAUGCCAAUUUUGUAUUUAAUUUUUUUAAUUAGACUAAUUUAAUCUUAAACCUUUUGUAUUUAUGCCAAUUGAGUCAAUCUAGACAAUUUUGAUCAAAAAUUGCUAACACAAACUCCGACUAUCUUACAUGAUAUAGCUAGUACCAACAUCUACAUCUUUAAUAAUAAUAAUUUGAUUUUCUUUAUUUUUUUUCUUUUAUUUUGGCCAGCAAGGGCUAGCAAGCCUUCCUGGCAACAGUAGGGAGGUCACGGUGGCGAGGGCUCCCUACCGUCGGUGAGGGCUAAGCCAUCAGCUACUAUUCAUUUUCUUCAUGCUUUUUUCUAGAAAAAAUGAUUUUAAAGUUAAUUAAAUUAAUUUUUAAAUUAAAAUAUAAAUACGUGCCAAAAUGAGUCAGCUCUCCGGUGAGUCACAUAGAUGAGAAAAAUUAAUAAAAAAUUGUCACAUAAGAUUUCCGGCAAAGUUCACCAAAGGUAGCAUUCAAGUGUCUUAUUUUUAAAAAAUUGUGGCACCUAAGUGUCACUUUCCUAACUUUUAACACUUAAAUGUUCUAUUGUACCAAAGUCAAGUUUUAGCACUUGAAAUGUUCUUUUGCCUCAUUAAAUUUAUAGUAUGAUCUAGAUUUUUCAUCCUGCUUUAUUACAAGCAGCCAGUACGUCCCCGCGCCCUGGAAGCCUUCUAAUUGAGUAUGUACUAAUACCCAAUUCUAGAUAGUAGACAUAGAGUCCACAUGCCGUUAAAAUUACGAUACCAAACUGAAAAAGAAAGCGUCCUCUUUUUAGGUCUAGCAGCAAUUAUGGCCGAAAAGGAAAAGUUUUGGAAGCACCCGAUAAUGAAUAAUUUAAGGAAAAAAAAAAACUCAGCAUAGCAUGGCAUGGACCCAAGUCUACCACGCUUGACUUUGUUCCGUUCAAAGCGACAAAAACAAUAAAACUCAAAAAAAAAAAAUGAUAUAUAUUUUGGGAAAGUCUCCACAUUCAUUGAAGUGAUAUUUCACUGAAAUUCUACCUUAAGACUUUUGGACUUAUGUGAAUAUAUAUAUAUAUAUAUAUAUAUAUAUAUAUAUAUAUUCUAAUACAAUAUUAGAAUAUUUAACCUAAAAGCUUAAAUUUAUACAUAGAGAAAGACAAUGGAACUCAGUGGUAGACAGUUAUCGUUGUGACGUAAACAUCAUACUUAUGAAGGUAUAAUGGGAAUAUUUGAGUGAGAUGAAAGGAAGGUGAGUUUCCAUUAAUAAUAUAAAUCGAAGAAAGAUAUAUGGAUAAUGUCCAGUGAAUUCUUAUUUUUCAAAAUUUCUAGCUUACUAAUUUGUACACUUGUUCAUGACUUACGAAAUGACAAACCAUAGAGCUCAAUGGCCAAAAGUGAAGGAAACAACAUAGCUCUCUAUCUACUAUCAUCCACAAGUAGGUCAAUAUCAUCCACAAGUAGGUCAAUAAAAUUAACUUUUCUUGAACAUGUACAUUUUUUACUUUACAGAAAUACAGUUCAAUAGCUAUUAAUUGUGUGAUUUGAAAAUUCUGCUUAUAUGUCUCCCAAUAAGGCUACGAUUUAUUCUAUCAAGCAGUAAAUCAAGGGGAAAAAGCAUUCAACAACCGUCGUAGUAAUAAAAAAGAAGGUGGUUACUAGGAUUAACAUACGACAGGCAACUUUUGGAAUUGCUAUUUUAAGUCUAAAUUUGAGAUCUACUUCAGUACGAUUGUCUAAUCAGAUUAUCACGCUUUAAUCUUAAUUAGAUACAUCGAUUUUCACAGUACUAGGGGUCUCCUAGAUUCUAAUUAGUUACAGUAAACAUUAAUUCUUCUCAUGCAUCGAGCUGAUAAUAGAAGUGCUUGUUUUUUUAAUUCCUUAUCAUGGGCCAUAUAGUAUAGAAAGAUUAGCUCUAUACAUGCAAUAUCUUUUUAUUUUAGCAAAAAUUAAGCAUCAUGGGAAGCCAGUGUUCGGCGAGGGCUGCCCUCGCCGGCGUCGGGUUAGGGCGGCCCUUGCUGGCGUCAGGUGGCCCUUACUUGCGUCGGGCGAGGGUGUCCCUGUUGUCCUUGCCCGUCGUCGGCGAGGGUGUCCCUACCCUUGCCAAAUUUGGCGAGGGCUGUCCUCACCCCACGUCGGCGAGAGCCGCCCUCGCCUGUGUUGGGCAAGGGUGUCCCUGCCCUCGCCAUAUCUGGCAAGGACUGUCCUCGCCAUAUCUGGCGAGGGUUGUCCUCGCCUGUUGCCGGCAAGGGCCGCCCUCGCCUGCGUCUGGCGAGGACAACCCUCCCCAAAUCUGGUGAGGGAGGCUCUCGCCUGACGCCGGUGAGGGCCGCCCUCGCUCGACGCCAGCGAGGGCAACUCUCAGCGAACGCCAGCUUCCCUCCGUUGGCUCCGCCAUUGCUGCCGGAGGGAAGAAGAAGAAGAAAAGGAAAAUACAUAAUAAAAAGACAAAAUUGCCUUUGAUGGGUUAAAUGUGUCACGGUUUGAAAAAUUUAUGGUUUUUCACGUCACAAAAAAAAAGUUUGGGGUAAAUGUGUCAUUUUGGGCAAAGUUCAGGAUUUUUCGUGACUUCUUUCCAUUUUAGUAUUGAGUUUUCUUUUGCAUAAAAAAUCACAAAUUUUUACUUAAAUCCCAAAUCUGACCACCAUUAAUUCAAAAUUCAAUGUGACAUUUUCCCAACAAGAAUGCACGUCAGCUUUUUCUGUUUAACUACAGAUUGUUUUUUUUUUCUUUUUUAGGAUCUUCUCUCUUUAUUUGUAGGCUACAAUUUCUUUUGUCCGGGCAACCCUAACAACAGCCUGGCUUUGUCAUCUCUAGUGUCCAUCACGUAGUGGUAGCAUCUGUCGAAUUUCCCCCGCCCCCUUUGUGUUCUGCCGUGUUGGUGGUUGACGCGGUGGUCAACAUUGAUAGGGGACCACCACAACGGUGGUUGUUUCGUAGCUGGAUCUCCUUUCAAUCUGCUCUCUCUGCUCUUCCUGGUUCCUCUGUUUCUGCGUUUUUGUUAAAGAUGUUAACCAGUGCCUAAUAGGGUACCAUAGCUUAAAAUUAACCAUUAAGUCCAAUUUUUUGAACUUUCCUGACAAGUGAACUUACAGUACUAGUUUUCAGGGAUUGACCUCACCAUUAAUCUGGUUUCUUUCUCUGUCGCAGUGGAUCGACGUGACCACCACCAAUGCGGCCAUCAGCUGUUCGCAAUGGUGUGGUCUCUGUUAAUGGAGAGGGAGAAAGCGCAGAUCAUUUUCUCUUCUGUCACCGUUCAUCAUCGCUGUGGCCACAGCUUCCUCAAAAACUUGUCUAUGAAAAAAACAAAAAACAAAAGAGAAGGGGAAAACUUGGCUUACUGUAUCGAAGGGGGUUGGGGGGGAACAACUAACUCUUCCAAAUUAAUGGGGUUAGAUUUGAGUUUCGAGUUAAAAUAUAUAAUUUUUUUAAGACAAAAAAAAAAAUUCAGAAUAGAAUCGGCAUUAGAUCAUUAGAUCUAAGACUGAUGCUUUUUCUUCAAGGAAUUAGCACUAUAAAAGUGAGGGAAUUCUUUUGUCUAGGCUAGAUAAAAAGCUCAAAAAAUGGAAUAUCAUGAGAUAUUUUCAACACCAACUAAGGAACUAUGCUUCGCUCGCUUUUACACCUCUCAUGCCUUAUCACGACAUAUGAUGCUGGCUUCUAUGAUGAUUACUUAACCAAAUAAAGCUACUUUAAAUAACAAUAAUAAUAAUAAUAAUAAUAAUAAUAAUAAUAAUAAUUGUUCUUGUUCUGAUGAUUGUGAAUGAUGACGAUGACGAUAUUUAAUAAUUGAAAGAGUUAUAAUUAGGUUAAUCAUAAUCAAGAUUGAUCACAAAUCUAAAAACAAUGAGACGUAUAUUAAGUCUCCCUAAAAAGAGUUGUUAAUUUAACGACAACCAAAAAAAAGAUUUGUUCACACACACAAAAAAUAAAGAGUUUCUAGCAUAAUCUUCAAGCUCUUCCUUCCGUCAUCUAUUCGAUUCCCUCUUCAUCUCCUACACAUGCACUUUCACAACUCAAUUCUUCGGCUGCUCUUGACCAAUUCUAGUCUCACAGCGUCGAACCCGGUGGGAGCUUGACACCGUCUCCCAUGACCUGCCACUAUCGAAAUUCCGUCUUUCCUUCCCCUCAAACUCGAGCUGCUCUCGAGCACGGCGCUGGCCUUGAUGGCGAGCAUGCAGAGCUCUUGUAAAGAGAGCGGCACUCGGGACAUGGAGAGAGGCAAGAGGAAAUAGAGUUGGUCCAAUUGGAGGUCUUCUUCUUCUUGAAUUUGGGGGGCUAUGGAGUCGAUGAACAUGGACUCAGAGCUGCAGAGGAAGCAGUUGGGGUUUUGGGAGAGGAGGUGAGAGGCCUUGGUGGUUUGAGUGAACUCUUGCAGUCUUCCGUCCAUGUGAAUGAGCUUGAGCGUGGAUGGAGAUGGUGAUAGCCAGCUAUGAUGAUGGGUGGUCAUGGCAAGGCCACCAUUUCUUGUGACCUGAGGAGCUGCACAG
rnacentral:lncRNA from 1 species